AUCCAUCACAUAUUUUUGUUGUGAGAUGAAAAUACCGUGCCGUGAGUGAGCUACUUCAAUUCCUAGGAAGUACUUCAAUCUCCCUAGCUCUUUUAUCUCAAAUUCUCUAGCCAAACACUGUUUUAGAGAUUCUCUCUCUUUUUCAUCAUCUCCAGUUACAAUUAUAUCAUCAACAUACACUAAUAGAACUAUGACUCUCCCUGAAUCAAAGUGCUUGAUAAACAAUGUGUGAUCUCCUUGACUCUGUUUAUAUCCCAUUGCUAGCAUCAUUUUGACAAAUUUCUCGAACCAAGCUCUAGGAGACUAUUUAAGGCCAUAUAAAGCUUUUUUCAGCUUACAUACUUUGUUUGCUUCUAGAUGACCUCCAAAUCCCAGUGGAACCUUCAUAUAUAUUUCUUCUUCCAAAUCACCAUGUAGAAAAAUAUUCUUUACAUCAAAUUGUUGAAGCUGCCAAUUGUAAUUUGCAGCCAAUGAUAACAAAAUCCUAACUGUAUUCAUCUUUGCAAUCGGAGCAAAGGUUUCCUAGUAAUCUAUUCCAUAGGUUUGAGUGUAGCCCUUAGCCACUAACCUGGUUUUAUACCUUUCAACAGUACCACCUGUCUUGUAUUUUACAGCGAAAACUCAUUUACACCCCACUGAAUUUUUUCCUUUAGGCAACUCUACCAAUUCCCAGUCUGAUUUUUCUCUAAGGCCUCUAUUUUUAUUUUCAUUGCUUGCCUCCAUUUCUCACUAGAUAAUGCCUCGGAUAAUGUAGUUGAAACAAAAAUAGUGUUUAGGCUCAUAAGAAAAUUUUUGUGGGAUGGUGAGAAUUUUUCAAAAGACACAAAAUUAGAGAUUGGGUAUAGUGGAUGCUUAGUACAUUCUCUGGUUUCUUUCCUAAUGUCAAUAGGCAAAUCAUAAUCACUAGUUAUAGUUUUAGGAGAUUCAUGCUCAUUUUGAGAAACAGAGUCAAAAAUUGUAGUUACCUCAUUUUCAAAGUUAGGAUCAGUUUCUUGGACUGGCACUGGUUCAGGAUCUGAAACUUUCCUUCUUGAGUACACUUGUAAUUCCUUCAUAGAAUCAAGAACAAUAUUAUCCUUUGUCACAUCUUUCGUAUUUGGAAUGGGUUCAGACUCAAAUUCAGUGUUUGACUUGGGCUUAGCAGAAACAGGUUUCGGCUCAGAAGAAUUAAUCGAUGUAAAUGUUGAAGAAGGGGGCAAAUCAUGCAAAAAGAAGUCUUUAUCCUUAUCUUCCAUGAAUGAAAUCUCCCCUGGAGAUAAUGAUGAGUAAAAAAUGAUUUAUUUUCUUCAAAAGUGACAUCUGCAGACACAAAAUUUUUUGUUAGGAGGAUGAUAGUACUUAUAUCCUUUUUGAGUUGAAAAAUACCCCACAAAAAUACACUUAAUCGCUCUUGGAUCCAACUUUCUCCUGUUAUGACUGUGAACAUGAACAAAUGAUGUACAACCAAAUAUUCUAGAUAUGAGAUUGUUUGUGGUAUUGAGGUUAGGAUAAAAUUGUGAAAGUAGUUCUAUAGGAGUUUUAAAUCCCAAAAAUCCUUGAAGGUAACCUAUUUAUAAUAUGUGUGGCAGUGAGAACAGCUUCCCUCAGUAAAAUUUAGGUACAUUUGCUUGAAAAAGAAAAGCUCAGGUUGUGGGUAAUAAAUGACUGUUUUUUCUCUCUGUCACUCUAUUCUACUGUGGAGUAUUAACACAAGAUGACUCAUGGAUAAUCUUCUCUUUUUGAAAAUAGGUAGAUAGACUCUGGUUGAAGUAAUCUCUUACAUUAUCAGACCUAAAUCUCUUGAUUCUCACUCCAAAUUGAUUUUGGAUCAUGUUUUGGAAGCUUAAAAAUAUACUAUUCACAUCUGAUUUGAAUUUAAGUAAAAAAACUCAAGAGACCUUGGUACAAUCAUCUAUGAAUAAAAAAAAUCAUCUCGCAUCAGAAAUAUUAAGAAUUGUAGAGGGACCCCAAAUGUCACUAUAAAUCAAGAAAAAGGGAGUAGAACUUCUUUUAUUACUGAUUGAAAAAGACACACGUCUAUGCUUUGCAAGUUCGCAAACAUCAUAAUGAAAAUCUUCGACAUUUAAUCCUUUGAACAAAGAAGGAAACAUGUUUCUUACGGUUCCAAAAGAAGGAUGUCCAAGACGAAAAUGAUAAAGCCAGAUCUUGUUUUUAUUGAAAGAUUUUUCAUAAAGAAAUGACAAAGGUAAACUAUUCUUGAUACUACUUGUGUUAUUUGAUGUCUCAAGAUAGUAUAGUCCAUCAUUCUCCUUAGCAAGUCCAAUCAUCUUCCCCAAACUCUGGUCCUGAAAUUCACAAUAAGAGGGAUAAAAAGUUAUUUAUUCAUAUCUCUGGUAAAUUUUUGUAUAGAUAUCAGAUUAGUAGACAAUCUAGGAACAUGAAGAACAUUUUUUAGAACAAACGAGAGAUUAACUUGAACAUCUCCUAAUCCUGCCACUUGUGGUAAGUGAACCAUCUGCAACAACAAUUUUCUUAUUACUAGGAUACAGGUUAUAUAUGUAAUAAACUUUUGUGAGGAAUGUGUCAUGUGGUAUGUGGCUCCUGAGUCAAUGACCUAAGAACUUGUAAUAGGCUUAGCUGAGACAUUUAAUCCAUGAGAACCGGAAGCUUUACUUGAACUAGAAACCUUACCCAAAGAACAUACCACAGUAGGCUUUUCAAUGAUUUUCAAUAAGUUUCUCAGCUUUUCAAUCUCUUCUUUGUCGAGCUCUCCUUGCUUCUGAGACAUCUAUAGUACUCUAGUGAUUUUUUCAGUUAAUAUUUCCUCAAAUUGGGUGGUAGUGAUAUCUUUCUUUGAAAAGGUUCGGCAAUGAAGGCCUAAAAAAGUCAGCAAUGAAGGUAGAAAAUUUUGCUUCUCAAGAAGAGCCUAAAGCUCUGAUACCAUGUGAAAAAACUAAUAAAUAAAUCAGUGUGAAAACCGAAUGUAUAUUGAAAAACUGCUUAUUAAGAAUUAUACAAGAAUCUUAGGUUUAUAUACAACUAACUAGGGGUUAAACUAGGAAACUAAAUCUUCCUAAAAAACUAAUCUUAUAAUUGAGGGAUUGUCUAUCCUAAUUUUAGGGAUACAAAUACUUAAUUUUAGAGAUACAAAUAUAAAUAUACAGAUUACAAAAUUAUAACUAGCUGUAAAUAAGUGUUUUUCCACAUUAACAUCCCUUUCACUUGGAGAAAACAUGAUGAAAUCUGCUAUAUGUAAAGACUAUUUGCUGAAAAUGUUGUGCCAUCUGUUGUAAUUCAUAAUUUGUAGCAUAUUGAGGUCUGUUGAUUUGUCAAACUUCAGCCAUGAGUUUAACAUUUUCCGACCUUAACCAGAAAUAAAUCCGGUUGAACAUGUGCUUAUGUUCGGUGGUGGAGCUAGGCAUCCACUCAACCCCACCCCAUUGUUUUACCUUCUAUGCCUUAACAUACAGACAGACACAGUGAACAAUUUAGCAUUGUUUUAAAUUGCUUGUGUAACUUGGACAAAGUUACAAGAGAAUUUUCCCAUGCUAUUGCUUGGAGUUUUUGUCUUCUUUCCUUUUUCUCAUCUUUUCUUUUGUUAAUUUAUUUUAAGCCUACAUGCUUUCUUGUACCUUUAAUCGCCACCAGUGCAACGGAGGUGCUGCCAAUAUAAAAUCAUUCCUUUACCUUAGAGUCUAUCACUUGAAGGAGCAAAUUUUUGUCGUCCAAGUUCAUGAGCAUUCUGGAUUUAAAUUUUUUUUCCCUUUCUUUGCAAGUUGUUAGAAAGGCUUUCAUGGGGCCAAGUCAUGGUAUUCCACUACCUAUAUCAGUGUAAAUUAGACAGGAAGUACUUAUUGUUUCAAUUAAAGAUUAGAAAAGGAGAUAAUAGUUUAAAUGUGUAGGCUUUCUAGUAAAUUUUUUAUGGUAUUAUAGUUUACCUCAAUGUGCAAAGUGAAUUAUUUCAAUGGACAACAACAUUAACAAUAGGUGAUUUUGUGCUUUUGAUCUCAUUUACAUACGAUUUCCUGUAGCAUCUACUGAAGUUUUCACUCCAUUUAGAUGGGAACAAACUAUAAAGUAGCACUAAUUCUGCAAGAAUAGGGGAGACAAUCCAUGGAUGGGGUAAGGAGGCAAGGAGAAAGAGGAGGCAUGGGCGUUUCAUCGAUGAUUCAACCAUACAUACAGACACAAGCACGGUAAAGUCACUUGAGGAAGAUGAUCGCCAGUUGAUUGAUAUUCAUGAAGCUGGCGAUGGUAGAUACACUGAGAUAGAGUUGCAUCCGCCACUUAAUGUUAUCAAAUCCAGUCCUUCACCAGCUACUAAUGAAACUUCGAGUAGGGUUGGUACACCUCUACUUAGACUGUCUGCUACUAUCUCUGCAUCGACUAUCUCUAGUUUUCAAAAGGAAGAUUUCCAAAGAUCAUCUUCUAUUCCUUUCAGGAGAGAAUGACACAAUUCUAUAGCAAUCGUCUAGCAGUAAUUGUAGGUAUAGGGAAAAAAAAAAGAAAAACAGUGAAUAUUAUUAUUGGUUUAGGCUUUGCAUGUUUAUGGGAAAGUGUGAGGAAAUCAUAUGCAAAGUGCUUAUAGUAUAUUCCUUCAAGCACGCGAAUUUCUUCGCAUUCCCACUGUCCAAGAUUCAUAGUUUCACACUGUAGCAUGAAUUUAUAAAACAAAGAAACCAAUACAUGGAGUAUACUGUAAUUGAUUCUCCCAAUUUCUAGAUUGUUAAUUACACACACAAACACACAUAUAUGUGCAUGAGCUUGCUCUGCAUUUUCUUACGUUCCAAACACAUGAAAUGUUAUACACUGAAAGUGAGAUACCCUACAUAGGCCAAAAUAAGAUGGAAAUUUAAGAUAUUGUAAAAAAGUUCCAAAGACCAUUUAAGUUUUUAUUAUUCUUAUUCUUUUGAGCCAACAGGGUUUGAUUGUAGACCUCUCAAACAUCAUUAGGUCUCAUUAGAUAAUACAUAUAACACUUUUACUCAUUCAUGGCUGACUAUGGUCCUCAUCUGGUGGAUAGGGCUCACUAACUUUGUUGAUAGCCUCUUGCAUCACAUUGGCAGUUUUAGAUGCGGAUCCUUCUGGUGUUUGUUGUCCAUGGUGAGACCAUGGUUGACAGUGCCCUUCAUAAUGGCCUGGAUUGCAGUCAGUUAUAGGGCCCCAAGGAUGAUCACCCUCAACACAAUUGCCAGUUACACACCCUGGCACUACUGGGAUUAUUGGGAUUUUUGGGAUUGCUGGUAUUUGUGGGAUUGCCGGAAUUUCUGGAAUUUGUGGGAUUGCUGGGAUUUCUGGAAUUUGUGGGAUUGCUGGGAUUUCUGGAAUUCGUGGGAUUGCUGGGAUUUCUGGAAUUGGUAUGGUGAAACCAAGAACGCAUGGAGGAACACAUCCAUGAACAUUUCCUAAACCAUGUUCUUCACCUUUCCCAUACUCAUACCCAUGACCAUUACCACCUAUUCCUGAUCCAAUUCCCGAUCCUUCACCAGACCCAUAACCACUUCCCCCACUUCCAACACCUUUGCCAAUACUAGAUCCAUGCCCACUCCCACCUCCUGACCCACUUCCACUGCCAUAACCAACACCAACUCCUUCCCCGUUAGGCUUCUUCACUGCUUCAUGGUGAGGAGGCUGAGGCUCCAUAUUUGUGUGAUCAUCAUUGACCUGAUUCAAUAAGAACCUAUGAGCCAAACUGAAGCCUAGGGAUAAAAAAACUGACAGAAUUAUACAUGCAGAUUUUAGUGUUGGGGCCAUUUGCCUACUUUUGGUCCUUUCUAUACUCCACCAAAUGAAGGCUGUCAUUACUUUUAUAGAGAAAAAUUGCAAAUGAAGAAAGAACUAGAAAUUGCAUUGUUGAAAAUGUUAAUUGGUUUGUUCUUCUCAUCCGGAAUCAUGGACCUUGCAUGAGUAGAAAUUUACGUGCCUUUAAUGCAACACCAAUCUCUCACUAUUCAUCAACCAAAACAGAAGGGAAUAACAAGAAAAUAAAAGAAAAGAAAUCAACCCUUUCAUAUAGCUUAAGCCUCCUUAUCAGCUCCUGAAUUUAAUCCAUCAUGAGGGAGGUUAAGCUGGACAUCAUUUGUUCUUUCAGUUCUGGAUCAUGAAAUACGAUAAGCAUGGCCUUAAAUAACGCUUUGAUAUUUUCAUUGAUAGUUUGGUUUUAGGGUGGUUUGAAAAUGAAACUUCCUAUUGAGUUCUGGCUACUUAGUAGUACUAAUUCAUCCUGGAGACAGUGAUUAUGGGAGAUUUAAGAUAAAUAUACUGUAAUUCAGAGUUUUUCAAAUUUUUUCUCUAUUGCUGCUGCUUUAUUCUAGAAGUGAUAACUGGUAACUCGAAUUCAAUUUAUUCUGAACUUAUAAAAUUCAAUCCAAAUCCGAGAUUUUUAUCAUCUAUGAAUCCCAGAUUUUACCCGAGGAAGUACUAAUUAGUUUGUCCUUUCUGUUGCCUCCGAUGACGAGUCAAGCUUUGGCCUUCAUAUAACCAUAAUUUCAUCACCUUCACUAGAAUUUUCUGACGGAUGAGCAGUAAACGCUGGAUUGUUGGUGGAAAGUUAGACAACAGGCUUUACACUGCCCCAUUCUUAGACUCACUUUUUCUUUGAUUUUGUUUAAACAACCAAGAACCAGAGUGACAGGUCAUUUUAACCAUUUUUGUGAAAUCAGCAUCGGUGCCAGUUGAACCUGUUGUCCAGUACCGUCUAAAAGUAUUCUUAGUCUUCAUCUCAAACGACCAACCGGUAAACACAUUCAACUCGACUUGUCGUUUUGCUUCUAGGAGGAAAACAACUUUCAUGCUUGGGGGACAGCCAGACAGUUAUGGCAUUUGCUAAUGGUUUAUGAAAUUUGAAUAUAUAUUGAUUCUUAUUUCCAUUGGCUCAUCGCAAAGAGCUCGUAAUCUUCAAGAGGUUCUCAUGAAUAUAUGCAAUACCAAGACGAACAAGAUCGAUUGCACAAGAAACGGGACAGGUGAUCAUUUCUCUUUCAUAUUCCAAGUAGAACAUUCAUUAUUGGUCUAAGAUUUUCAUCCAUUGAAACUCAAUAAUAAACAAUUUAUUACCACAGGAGACAAAAUCCCACCAAUCUGAACAUCACACAGGACCCCAUCGAAAAUGUUGGGGAAGCUGUUUAGCAAGUUGUUACAGGUAAGUUUGUAAACAUAUUAGCAUGUCAACAUUCAAGCUUGCUCGCUAUUGCCUUCUGAAUCCAUGGCCUUUAAACUUUCAGCCAUCAUUUGGUCUCUGUUCCGCUUUUGUCUUUCUACAGCCACCAUAUACAGGCCUACACAAGAAUAAAUAUUAACUAUCACCAUGAGCCAGGAAAGAAAAUAAAAUGUAUGAUUCAAGAGUCAAAAGAAUUCAAAUAAUCGGUGCAAUCAUAUAAAUUAUGCCAAGCAACAAGCGCCAAAUCACAGGUCAUGGUAGCGUACUGAUUGCACUUCCAAUUGCACAAAGCCAGAGAAUCCUCAUAGACCACUUAUCUCCAAUAACUCCUCCGGUUCCCAUACCUGGCAAAACCUAUUAAACUAAUUAGUAUAACAUCAACCUAGACACCAAAUAUUAUUGCUGACCAAGUCUAAUGCAUAGUGAAGAUUCAAAUAGACUACUUGGUUAUAACUUUAUGGUUAAACUAAACUCUUCAUGUUGUAUCUCUUUCUACCAAAUUCAUCUGCUAUCAUAAUUUUUGCAAUCAAAGAACAUCAAUAACUCCGUUAUAAGCUACCACUUGAGUUGCUAAUGCAUUUGACAUAACACCUUUUUACCUUGCAUGACCAGGGAUACCGGUAGCAUUGCUAAUGCAUUUGAGAUGAGGCCUUUUUAAUUGCAUAAUAAGAUCACACCAGUGAUCACGCUUGUUAGCUUUGAAAUUGCAAAAUAAGAUGGUCAGAGCUCCAAUUUAAUAUUUCUUUUGAUAGAUGGAGCUUUUAUAUAUAUAAAAUUCAUGAUACAAUGUGUACUCAUUUGUACGCUCAAAGUGGAAGAGGUCAUAUGAACUUCAAAUUUACACUAAUUUCUUUGAAUCAAAGAUACUACCAACAAUGUGGUUGAAUUGCAUAGAGUAAUUUUCACAAUUCCUGUAAAACAUAAGAAGAACUGACAAUUCAUACAAAGAAAAAAGGGCAAAAUAAAUGGUGCAAUUGUGGGGUCGAAAUUCCAUAAAAUGUCUUUCAAAGCCAGGAAAGAACAUUUUAAAAGCUCAAAAUAAGUUUUGUAAUUAAAGUAAAUUGCAAAAAGCCUUAGUUUGAGAUGAGAUUUGACAAAGACCCAAUCUGCUAACCAUUAAUUCUUCGCACUCAACAAAGAUAGCAUUGAACAAAUGUACCGUGGAUCAUUCCUUCACAUGUUACAGGGAGCAGAAAAUAACUCAAAUCUGAAAGAUAAUAUUUUCUUUGAAAAGCAAGAUACAUGGACUUCAACUUGUAAAUCGAGUCCAACAGGUAACAGCACAUAUAUAAAGCAACCGAGUUCUUUUUUGUAAACCUUAAUAAAACAAAGAACAAGGCAUCUACAGCAUUCACACCUAACUGGAAACUUAUGAAAAUGAAAGAAAACAGGUUCUUAGAACACCAUGUUCUUCUGUAUACGAAACAAAAAACCGGAAAACAGAAUUUCCUUCCGAUUUAAGCACCUAUGCUUUCCCGCUCCUAAAUGUCAUAAUCUAAAAAUAUUUACAGCUUUUUUCUUUCAUAAAAUUCUACUCCGACGAACUGACUGUAUUUCAAGCACACUCUUUUCAUCCCCUUUCUGGGAAAUGAAGGUGCAAAGACAUGAACUUUACAACUUUCAACACAUCAAAAAUCAAUUUUUUUUAAGAAGCAAUUUCAUAUUAGAAAAUUAACCAAAACCCAAAUUCCAAAAACAGUUAAACCAAACAACAAUUAAGUUACCAAAAACGAAACCCAGAAAAAAAAUCAUCAAUUAGGGUAAAUAAAGAGGAAAAAAAAAAAGGAAUUACCUUUGAAGAAGCUAAGCUGAAAAAUCCAAACUUUUUUUUUUUUAAUAGUGUGGAAUUUUUGCUCUUGGGUAUUUUUAGGGCUUUACAGCGGCAAGUGUAUGGAGAGUGAAAUGGCUGAAAGAGGGUUUAAAGAAAGUGUUUCUCACGCUCUUAAGCAUCGCGUGGGAACUCUAUCUCUCACCUACCCGCAAGUUUGCAAUUUCCUCCGAAUUUUUUAUUUAUCUAAUGACGUCAGCAUUCAAACUUCUAUAAAUACCCUUAAAUUUCACUCUUUUUCUGAAUAAUUUUUACUUCUUUAAGAAGCUAAGCUUAACCUCGGAAAAGAAAAAAAAAAAAAAAAGCUGAAAAAGGGAAUUUUCUUUCUUUCAAGUAAGCCAAUGCUUCUUUCAAUUCUUUUUCUUUUCUCAUGCAUUCACUUAGUCUUUAUUAUUAAUCUUUUAAUCCUUCAUUGAGUAACUUAAAAACUUGAUAAAAAUGACUGCUUUUCAUCAAUGAUCAACCUAGUUUCCUCUCCGUUUCCUAGCAUUAUUAGUUUGAUAAUCUGUUUGGUUGCUGAGAAACUGAUGAACAUUGAAAAGCAGAAGAAAUGUGAAAGUUUUGAUUUUUGUGUUUUCUUACAUUUUCAAUGCCAGGGUUUUUUUUCUUUCUGAAAGUUGUUCUUUUGGUCAUUUAUUCUGAAAGUGGUUCUUUGGUAUGAUAGUUAGAUUUGUGUAUUUUUUUCAUCUGUUUGGUUACUGAGAAAGCGGAAAGAAAUGAUACAGAAAAAGAAAAGUAAUUUCAUUUAUUUUCUUUUUUUUUUUGGGGCUUUUUCUAAACAGAGCUCUAAAAGAAUUUUAAAGAACUCCAUUUGAUAUUUGCUAUAAUUGUUUGUGAUUAAGAAGUUUUAUUAUGAUAUAAAGCACAUUUCUUUUGUAAAGUUACAUAUCGAUUUUACAUGUCUAAGACUUGCUGUUUAGUUGAGAAAAUGGAGGUAAGGAUCAAUAUUGUGGAACAAAUUGUAAUGAAACUUGCAUAUAUGGCAAAGUUAAGCACUGUGAUAGGCGAUUGUUGUAAAAAAUGGUUUGGCAUUGCUAUUAGCAGUCAAAUUAAUGCCAACAAAUGUAAUUCCAAUCGCAAUGCCAAACAGAAAUAAUAUUCUUAGAAUGAAUUUUGAUUAUUUUCCCAGUAGGUUGAUCUUUGAAAUGAAUGUCAUUUGAAUCUCUCUAGGCUAAGGCUGUAAAUAAAUUAAUAAUCAAAGAAAAAUUGUAUAUUUUUUUGUUUAUUCUUUAUACUAUAGUUACCUAAUUAGCUAGAUUCCCUUUCCGGCUGUGUCCUGGAUCGCACUCCGUAUGUGAUCCAAAAUGUGGAAAGAGAUGAGCUGCCGUUUCAACAUCCUAAGUCCCAAUUAUCUGUUAUGCCGCGUGUUUUUUAUGAUUCCAAUACAAUAAAACAAGCCAGGCAGUAACAGAAAAUGGUGUGGAUUUCAAAACUUGUGAAAGGAUUACAAAUCUGGAAAGUAUAUCAUCACUUUUAUUAAGUUUAGCUGGUCAGCUAAAAUUAACCAUUUUCUUCUUUUUUUUUUUUUGUAUUUCUUUCUCAACCUUUUAAUUUUCUUCAAAAUAACUUGUUUUGUUUAUAUAUUGUGAUAUGUAUGUCUAUGUAAUCAUCCGAGCACACAGCUAUUCUGCAAACCCAAAAGCACUAUAAUUCUGGUAACCUUGAUUUAUACUCCAUUGUAAUUGUCUUCCUCUAAUAUCAUAAUUUUUAUGGUUUUUCCUUUUCCCCUCUUUUGUGAAGGAUAUAUGAGAAUGAAAGGAAUUGCAUGUGUUGCAAAUCUUGAUGAAGAAGCUCUCAGAAAGCUGCUUGAUGUCUUUGGUACUCAGUAUUCUCUUGAGGACAUAGCUUCUGCUUAUUACGAGGCAAAAGGAAGUGUCAAUAUUGCUGGUGACAUUCUUUGUGCAAGACAUGAUGGAAGGAUCUUGAUUGCUAGGGCUGAUGCAUUUGAAAAUAAGUCAGUGGGUACUAGUACAACAUCUGUGGAAUUGUCGUCUGGAUGGGAAAGCGAAAAUGCAGCAUCUUUAGAAUAUACAUCCGCCAAUCCCAACGCUGGAGCAUUCAAGUCAAAAAAAGGUUCUGCAUCAAUGGGAAGUGUUACAGGUGUGAUAGGAAGAAACUAUGUCAAACCAAGGCCAUCAAGAAACGACUCUUCUGAGACUAUGAAACCUGUGAAAAUAGAUUCGAAGGAAUUGCCAGUCUCUAUAGUAUGGAGGGAAGAAGAUCCAUCAAAUAGGACAACAAGGAAUGGCUCCACAAAUGGUGAUCUUGAGGAAUUUCUGUAUGAGAUGCUUGGAGAUGGAUUUCAACUUGACAAGUCUGUAAUUCAAGAAGUAUUUGGUAAAUCUGCUAGCUUCCUUUAGCCUUUGAGUUGUUUACUGCUUUUGUCAUGCAAGCUGCAAUCUUAUCUGAAAGUUUAGUGCAAAAUUGCUUGUGUGUGCGUUUAUUAUCUUUCAAUGGAGGUAUAAGUUUAAGUGUGACAUGAUAAGUAUUCAACAUAAUGUGAUCAAUUGAAUUAUAUGAAGUGGAGUGAAUAUAGACAGAGGAGAGUAUCUCAUGUUAUAUUGAGUUCUGUAGUCCCAAGUAUUUUUAUUUCGUCAUCAUAUAUGUUAUCAUUGACAUGAAAUUUCAUGAUGCUAAUUUUUGGUUAUUUGGCAUGAGUUAUUUUGUUCAUUUAUAUAUUUUAGAUCUUGCAGUAUAUCAGUAAUUUGUUCCAUUUAUUACAUGUUAUAUUGUGUGAGUUUAUCCCUCGUCUUUUCUACCUCUGUUGCUUGCUUUGGCCUUUGCUAGGAUGCUAUCUCUUGAUGCCCUGAUCUUCUCUUUUUGAGUUUUCCGCCUUCGAAUUGGUAGUUUUAAGCUUCAAAAAUAAUGCAGUCAGCUUAAGAUAAAAAUUUCUCUUCAUUUGUAUUCAUGAUAUUGUAACUAUAAAGUUAUGUUUUCUUUAUUGCUGUUACUUAUUUGAGUUCAUAAUGUGCUUAAUCCUGCCAUUCAUUCGAUUUGCAGAUUGUUGUGGGUUUGAUGUGGACAAGGUGAAGUACUUAUACCCUUUGAGCUUGAAGACCUUUCAUGAAUUUUAGUUCAUGUCCUCUUGUUUUAAAUAACGUAUGUUUUUAUAACUCACAAACAUUCAAAGAAUAAUUGGGCCAUAGUUCUGCAUGUAUUGUUUCUAAGAGACUAGAUUUUAAUGAUGUCUUAAACUCCCGGUUUUGCUUGUGCUCCUUUGAAGAAAGUGAAAAACAUUCAGUGUGUGUUGCCAUUUCAACCUAAACGUUGCUAUCAUCCUUAAGUCAUUUUAUCUUCUUUAUUUUAUCCUUUAUCUGUGUAUAUUUGAUUACUAGUUAAUUUAGCAUCCCAAGCCAGGUCAAUGAUACCGAUUUGUUUUAUUGAUCGCAUAGAGCAUGGACAAACUGCUUGACUUGUCAGCUUCAACUCUAGAGAAGUCUGAUGAUGUUAUUGGUAUAGCUGCUGAAAAGGUGAGCCCAAGUUCACACAUUUCUGUACCCAGUUUUUCAACAAUAUCUUGUAGAAAUUACUAUCAAAUCAUGAAAUUCUGAUGAUUCUACUGGUUCCUUUUAUGGUCUAUUUGCGCAACUGUUCAUAUUUCACAUUACGUGUGUGUUUUAUAUCACAUUAGGUCCUGCACUUUACAGGAAUAUUAACUGUCAGCAAGCUUCAUGCUUCUUUACUCAUCUUCUCAUCACAAUUCUUUCAACAGUUCACUGGGAUAUGUCCAGAUGACCAAUUCUUUUUAAUCCAAGACAAACCGCAAUCCAAAGAUUUUGCUCAAAGGUGUGUUUUCCAAUUUCAUUUUGUUGUACUGACUUUUUGCUGCACAUCUUAAUUUUCUAAAACAAAGGUGUUCUUUAGGAAAGGCUACCCUAAAUUCUUUCUUAUGGGCCACACUAUUCUUCUUUGCAUCCCUUGCAGCAAAGAAGCUACAUCUAUGAUAAGAAAUCCUAAAAGAUCUUCAAGAAGAAACAAAGAUAGAGUCACUAUGGAGAAAGAAGUCUUAGAAGCAUUGUUCACUGUUCCUGAAAGAUCUGAAGAAGUACCAAAAAGAAAUGGUGCAGUUAGAGUGGUGGGGAGAUCAAGGGCAUUUGGUAAAUUGGUGACCGAACCUCUCAAGGACACAGAUACCGGUCCUACAACUAUUGUAAAGCUGCUGAACGUUUCCAAAGAUGGUAAAGGAUUUUGUCUAUGCUUUUUGUAGUGAGAUAGAGUAUUUCAUUGCUAAUGUUCUCAUGAACAACGAAUAAAGUAAAGAGGAUAUGGCUUUAAGAGAAGGAGGUUAUAAAUCAACUCAUUUUGUGGCCUCCCUAUGACUUGGAAUUGAUUGGUAGUUAAUUAGCAUUGCUGCACUUCUGUCAGCCACCAUUCAUUUGUUAUUUGAUUACAUACUCACUUACUGAAUAAUAAACGAAACUUUGCAUACGAAAUUUUUGCAAUAAACAUGAGUGAUCUGCCCACAAAGUGUUCUCAGUUUUCCUCUAAACAAAAACACCAGGUUGGACUAUGUGUUGUGGUACUCUUGGCUGCAUGAUAGACAUACAUACACCUGAGGACUAAUCCAUUGUAGCUUAAUAGCCUAGAGCUACCUUUGUACUUCAAGGUGAUAUAUGAUAUCAUAUCAAUCCAAUAUUUGUGAGGAUGUUAAAAACCGUUCAAUCUUGCAGCCUAAUUUUUAUUUUUUAUAUUGUAUGAUUUUGUAUGUCAUUUCUGUGACAACUUUUUCAAAUAUCUUAGCCUUCUUGUGCUUGGUUUCUGGUGCAGUGGAAGAUGGACUUGAUGACGAUGAGAAUAGCUAUGAUGUCUUACGGCAAGCUGUGAAGGAGCAUUGGAUCACAAUGAAAGAAUACUUUAAAGCUGUAAGCUGUUUAAUCUGCAAAAAUUUUGGAAGAUGUACUUGUUCCAACGUUUCAUAGAACCAAUUUAGAAAAGCAAGUCUAAAGUUGGUAAAUGAUGGUCAUUAUGCUUCUUUAAUUUUAAAGAGAUAUACUGGGGCCAUCUAAUAAGUUUUGCAAGUCUUUUGCUUUGGCCACAGCCCAAGAUCUUGCUUUUCCUGGCAUUCAUCUUGUUCUGCGCCCCCCCCCCCCCUCUUUUUUUUUGGCAGCAUUACUUCUGUUGGAUGAUUUUUUUAAAUUGGAAUGGAUGAAUAGUACUAACAGUCUUGAUUAACUUCCAGGCUCUUGAAGCAUUUGCUAAGGGUGAUAAGGCACGUGCAGCCAAACUUGUGGAGCUAGUAUGAUUCAGAUCUUUGCCUGUUUUAAAAGUUUUUUCCGAUAUCAGUGUUCAACACUUGAUCAACUGAAAAUAAGACGGCGAUAUAAUAAUAUAUAUACCAGCCCUAGAAGAAUUUCUUUCCUCCACAUGAAUUAAGAUGUUUAAUGCAUCACGGCAUGUGUUUAGAGUCAAAUUUUCUUUUCCAUGGUUAAUAAAAUUUUUUUAUUAAUCUGGGAAUGCAUUUGUGAAAUACUGACUCGAAUUAGAUUAUUGAGGCAAGUCUGCUGAGUAUUUGUUGUACAAUUUUAAAGCAGUGAUAUUCUUGUAGAAGAAGUAAUUGUUGAUAUUUUUUUCGGGUGAAUGUCUAGGGUCAUUUUUUUAACAAGAAGGCCCGAGAAGCAGAUGAAAGAUCUGCUGAAAAGAUGCUUGAAACCAGGUUGGUGCAUGUUGAAAUUCUUUAUUCUGUUGCACAAUGCUGUCUGUUGUUUCAGAAAAUGGUGUCACAAGUUUGAAUUUUGUUGCAGAGAUGACGAAAUUAUAUCGCUUGACUUGCGUAACUUUGAACCCAAGGAAGCUCUUAGUCUUCUCAGAGUCCAUUUAACCUCUGUUUCUGGCAUCCCUUGUAGGUUAUUGUUCUCUUCUAUUUUUUAGUCGUAUAUGUAGAAAUCUAAUUCUCCUACAUUAGUGCAAAUCCAAUUCUCCUACAUUAGUGUAGCUUGAUAUGAUUCUCCUACAUUAGUGUAGAUUUGAUUCUCCUACAUUACUGCAGCUUGAUUUCUUAAUUUAUUUUGGGAAUAUUUCUCAUUUACUCUUUUGAUUUAAUCAACUAUUUUGAUUGUUAAGUUUUUAGGGAUUUGUUUUCAUUUUAGAAUAAAAUAAUUCUUUUUACUUUUUUUUUUUUUAUUUCAUGUAAGUUGUUUCCUAAUAAGGAACUUCAAUGUUUCUAUUUAUUGUGAUGUACUCCUUCAUUCUAGAUAGAAUAAAAAGAAACAAAGACAAUUGUUCUUUAUGUUUUCUACCUGGUAUCAAAGCAAGUCGACCUGAACCUUUAGACUGUAGCCACACGAGUUUUCAUUAUGGCUAGUAGGAGUGUGAACUCUUCUUCUGCAGAGUAUGGCAUAAGGAAAGUUACAAAGAGGAAAUGCUCCAACAAACCCUUCAAAACAAGUCUUCAACCUUUGGAACUAAUUUGCUGGCACAAAAAGGUCAUUUUCUAAAGGCCAUAAUUGUUCAACGAGGAAAUACACAAUCUUGGAUUGUUGAUUCAGGAGCAUCAGAUCACAUAACUGGAGAUGCAUCCUUUUUCAACAUAUAUAGACCUUGCUAUGAUAGUUUGGCUGUAAAAAUUGCUAAUGGUUCUCUCUUAAAGGUGGUAGGAACAGGUUCUAUUAUAGUUUCAAAAGACAUAACACUCGACUUUGUCCUCCAUGUCCCUAAUUUAAACUGUAAUCUACUUUCCAUCAAUAAGCUUAUGAAUGAUAGAUGUUGUGUUACUAAAUUUUUUUUCAACUUGUGUGAAUUUCAGGAAUUGGGCUCGGGGAAAAUUAUUGGGAAUACUAAGAUAUGUGCAGGGCUCUAUCUUUUUCAAGAUGAUGCACUUGAGAGACUACAAAACUCUUAUACAGCCUUAGCCUCUAGUUCUAGUAAGGAUGAUCUUAUCAUGUUAUAGCAUUAUGGAUUAAGACAUCCAAAUAUUUCAUACCUAAAAAGGUUAUUUCCCUUAUUAUUCAAUCACAUCUUUAAAGAUUUUCAGUGUAAAAUUUGUUAACUUUCUAACUUUCUAAGCACAUUCGAAAUACCUUAGUUUUUCCUAUAAAUCAUCUUAGCCUUUCUAAUGAUUCACGGUGACAUUUGGGGACCGUCAAGAGUUAACAAUAUCACAAGUUCUAGGUGGUUUGUAACUUUCAUCGAUGAUCAUACUCGAUUCACUUGGGUAUUUCUUAUGAAAUAAAAAUCCAAAGUUAGGCAAAUCUUUCAAAACUUCAAUAGCAUGGUACAAACCCAAUUUCAAGCCAAAAUCCAACUCUAUUCUCGGCCCUUACCUUACCAAUCAUGGCAUUACCCAUCAAAGCUCUUACGUUGAUACUCCAUAGCAAAAUGGGAUUGUCGAAUGCAAAAAUAGACAUUUGAUAGAAGUGAGCAAAUCUUUUUUGUUGACUUCCAAUGUGUCUAAAUAGUUUUGGGGAGAAGUUGUCUUCAUUGCAACUUAUUUGGUUAACCAAAUGCCUUAUCAUGUUCUUAGCUUUUAAAACACCUUGUCAAACUCUUCUUACUUCCUACCCACAAACUCGGUUGAUCUCUUCUAUUCUCAUCAAACUUUUUGGUUGCAUUGCCUUUGUUCAUAUUAGCCAACAAAAUCGUAGCAAACUUGAUCCCAAACCUUAAAAUGCAUCUUCCUUGGUUAUUCCCUAAACCAAAAAGGCUAUAGGUGUUACUCAUUCAUCACAAAAAAAUUCUAUAGCUCUAUGGAUGUCACCUUCUUUAAGAAUCUUCUAUACUAUAGCAAGAAUGAUAUUUGGGGGGAAAAUACUGCUCAGGAAUAUUAAUUCUUAGAUGUUGACUUGCCAAUUUCCCAAUCAGCCCUUUCAAAACUAGAUUCUCAACUUACCUAAUCUAUUAGCCAUGCAAAUUUCGAAACCCAACCUAUUCAGACAACUCUUAACUCUUCAAACUUAAGAUUAUACAAGAAAAAGCAAAAGAACUGAUAAUCUACUCAAGGAAGCAAAAACCACAGAAAGAAGUGACCUUAGCACUAAAAAUCAACUUGAUCUAAGUUUUCAAGAAUUUGAAACUAACACAGGUAAUGUCCUUAUUGAAUUUGAAAUUGAAACUUGUGAGCCAGUUGGUGACCUUGACAUUCCUAUUACAUUAAAAAAAUGUUUGAGAUCUUGCACUUGGUAUCUUAUUUGCAAGUACAUCGAGUAUGACAAGUUAUAUCCAAACUUUUGAGCCUUUACUACUAACCUUGACAAUGUGCAAAUUCCAAAAUAUAUUCAAAAAGCCCGUAAUGAACCAGAUUGGAAGGCAACAGUUCUUGAAGAAAUCAAGGCAUUAGAGAAGAAUGGGAUAUAGGAAAUUUCAUAUUUUUCCAAAGAAAAAAAUCCGGUUAGAUGUAAGUAGAUCUUGACAAUAAAGCACAAUGUAGAUGGAAGUAUAAACAGGUUCAAAGCUAGACUUGUUGCAAAGAGGUUCACUCAAUCCAAUGGGAUAGACUAUGAGGAGACAUUUGCUCUGGUAGCUAAACUCAAUUCAAUUAGAGUUCUAUUGUCAUUAGUAGCUAACUUGGAUUGACCUCUCCGCCGUCUUGAUAUCAAGAAUGCAUUCCUAAAUGGUGAAUUGGAAGAGGUUGUCUACAUGGAAAUUUCCCCUGCUUUCAAAAAAACAGCAUGGGCAAAGGGUGCAAACUCCGAAAAUCUUUGCAUUGACUUAAACAGUUCUUCAGGCUUGGUGUAAACAGUUGGCUUAGGCAAUGUAAAUGUAUGGAUUCCUUCAAUGUCAAUCUGAUCGUACUAUGUUUGUCAAGUUCACUAAUGAAGAAAAAAGGGUUAUUCUUAUUGUUUAUGCGGAUGAUAUCAUAAUCACUGAAGACCAUAAGGAAGGAAUAGAUGAUUUGAAGAAAGUCUUUGCAAAGGAGUUUGAAAUAAAGGACUUCGGAUUCCUUAAAUAUUUUUUUGGGGUGGAAGUGGAUCGGUCUAAGAAUGAAAUAUCAAUGUCUCAGCGUGUGUACUUGAUCUACUCAAAGAAACCAGCAUGAUUGGAUGCAAACUUGCCGAAAUACCUAUGGAUUCAACUAAUAAAAUUGGAAAUGAAAAUGGAAGCUCUUUCACGGAUAAAGGGCAAUGCUAGGGGUGUAAUCGAGCAGAGUCGAGAUGACACAGUGAAAAUCUUGAGCUCGACUCCCACCUCGCGACAUGAUACUUGGCUCGAAUUUGAUCGAGUUUCAUUUUCCUAGCUUAAGUUCGAUUCAUGAUCGAAAUCGAACUACUCGAGCUCGCUUGAAUAGGCUCAUUUAUCAAUAAAAAAUAAGUUCGAUUUCAUACUCGAUUUUAAGUUCAAUUAUUGGUACUCGAAUUCAAGCUCGAAUUAAGAUUUUUCAAUACAAAUAUUUUGUAUCAAUUAAAUCUGAUAUAUUUCAAAAUAAUAUCAUAAAAAUAAAUAAAUAACCUAAUACAACAACCAAUCCAACUUGAAAUAAAAUGAUAAAGUUUAAAGCAACCGAAAGCAUAACCCAUAAAGCAAUCAACUUUCAUUCAGAUUAUAUCCAAAUAAACCAUUAUCCAAGUUAAAAUAAGAACUACAAGCCUUAUUUCCAAAAAAAAGAAAAACAUGAGAAAAAUGAAAACUAAAGAUCUUGGCUGAACUUAAAAUGAAAAAAAAACAAAACUUUCCAGAAAAUAAAAAUAAAAAUUUGAAAUAAAACCCUCUUUUUGAUAAGAACAAACAAAAAAAAAUUUAUCACAUUUCACAAAUGCAACGUGUAGGUAGCUUCAAAAUCAAUUCAUGCCUCAUAUAUUGGAAUAGUUACAACAAACAAAUAGCAAACAAUGAAAUCCUUCCUCAGCAAGCAUGCUUAUGUCAACCAUGAAUUUUUAUGAAAUGAUUACUCAAGGUAUUUUUUGCUAAAUAUGUCUUAAAUAAUCGCCUUUAUUUUUGUAUUAGGGAUUCUUCAAGGCAUUUUUUUUUUCAGAAAAUGCCUUGAAUAAUCUUUUACAAAAACGGGAAUGAGGUUAUUCAAGGCAUUUUUGGUUAAAAACGCCUUUAAUAAUCCCUUAGUAAAAAAAUUUAACCAGAUUAUUCAAGGUGUUUUCUAACAAAAAAUGCCUUGAAUAAUCCAUAAAAGAAAAAUUUGUGAGGGGAUUAUUUAAGGCGUUUUUGGAUAGAAACGUCUUGAAUAAUCCCAUUCAAUUUUUUUAAGGGACUAUUUAUGGCAUUUUUUGCUGAAAAAGCCUUGAAUAUUCUCAUUCAAAUUUUUUAAGUGAAUAUUCAAGGCAUUUUUUGCCAAAAACACAUUGAAUAAUCCACUCAUAAAAAUUGAUAGGGAUUAUUCAAGGCAUCUUUGGCAAGAAACACCUUCAAUAAUCCCAUUCAAUUUUUUUAAGGGAUUAUUUAAGGUGUUUUUUAUUAAAAAACAUCUAGAAUAAUCCAUAAAAAAAUGUAAGGGGAUUAUUUAAGGUGUUUUUGAGCAAAAAUGGAUUACGCCUUAAAUAAUCCACUCAUAAAAAUUAAUGAGAAUUAUUCAAGGUGUUUUUGAUAAAAAACACUUUCAAUAAUCCCCUCAUAAAAAAAUUUUGUAAGGAUUAUUCAAAGCAAUUUUUAGCUUAAAACAUCAUGAAUAAUCCCCUUCAAUUAAAAAUUGAAUUAUUUAAGUUUUCAUCAUAUAUGCCAAGGAGAAUAUAGUAAUUAUUCAAGAUUUAAUAUAUGUGGAUUCUCUCCAACCAAAUGAGUGAAUUUGAAUAUGGGAUGCCCUGAAAAUGAAAGAAAACCCCAAGUAUCACAUUUUCUUAGGGAUCACACUUUCUCCCAAAAUCUAUAAUUUCACGAACCAAACACCCUUUAAGGGUUUUAAGUAUUUAUAUAUAUUUAGGGGUAAAAAAGUGAAUUAGUAAUAAAAUAUUAAAUAUAUAUAUUAAAAAUAAAAAACUCGAUUAGGCUUACGAGCCGCUUAAGUCGGAUAUUAAAAUACUCAAAUUCGGCUCGUUUGAUAACUUGAGCUCGAGCUUAGCUCGACAAUAAUCGAAUUGAAUUCGAAUUUGUUUCGAAUCGAGCCCGAAUAGCUUGUGAGUAUAUGUCUCAUUUACACACCUAGGCGAUACCAAAGACUUGUUGGGAAGUUUAUUUACCAUUUCCACAUACAACUUGAUAUCAGGUUUAUGGUAGGGAUGGUGAGUAGAUACAUGAAUAAUCCAACAAAGGACCAUCUCAAGGCUGUUUAUUGCAUCUUACAGUGCUUAAAUAAGAGUACAAGUGAAGGUCUAUGUUUUAAGAAGUCAAUGGAUGAGGCAAUCGAGGUGUACACAGAUGCUAACUAGGCUGGAUCAGUAACAGAUAAAAGAUUCACUAUUGGAUAUUGCACUUAUGUUUGGGGCAAUUUGGUCACUUGGAAAAGCAAAAAGCAAGCUGUUGUAGCUAUGAGCAGUACUGAGGCUGAGUUUAGAGCAAUGUCCCAUGGUAUUUGUGAAGGAAUUUGGCUAAUGAGGUUACUUGGAGAAUUAAAAGUUCAAACUGUGACAUCUAUGACACUAUUUUGUGACAAUAAGGCUACUAUAACUAUUACCAAAAAUCCUAUUUAUCAUGAUAGGACCAAGCACAUGGAGCUGGACCGACAUUUCAUAAAGGAAAAGAUAGAAAAUAAGUCGGUCAAACUGACCUAUAUCCCUACUAGUUCACAAAUUGCAGAUAUUCUGACUAAAACUCUUCUUAGAAGCAUUUUUGACAGAUUGAAAUCCAAGCUGAGUAUGAUUAACAUUCAUAACCCAACUUGAGGGGGAGUGCAGAAAUCUGAUUCUUCUACACUAAUGCAGAUCCAAUUCUCCCACAUUAGUGUAGCUUGAUCUGAUUCUUGUACAUUAGUGCAGAUUUGAUUCUCUUAUUGUAGCUUGAUUUCUUAAUUUAUUGUGGGAAUGUUUCUCAUUUACUCUUAUAAUUUAGUAAACUAUUCUGAUUUUUUAGGAAUUUGUUUUUAUUUUAGAAUAGAAUAAUUCUCUUUUUAUUAUUUUUUGUUUUCUGUUUCAUGUAAGUUAUUUUCUAAUAAGGAACUUCACUGUUUGUAUUUAUUUUGAUGUACUACUUCACUCUAGAUAGAAUAAGAAGAAACUGCCAUGACUUCAUAUUUACUCAUCUUACCAGCUAUUAAGGGCCUGAGGAUUAUAGUGGGAACCAUUGAAGAAGAUACUAAAAAAGGGGCUCGAAGACAACUGGUAUGAGCUUUUCUUUUAAAAAGGUUUCAUUUUUUAAGAUAUUUAGAUAGAAAGCACCUUUGUUAAAUUCAGCCGAGAUAGAACCCAUCAACUGUAAAUGAGCUUGAAUGCAAUGAAAAGACAUCCUAAUCUUUAUAUCAGUUUCUCAAGACUCAGUCCUGAUAUUGCAAUAACUGGUAUGAUUGUAUUGGUGAGUAUAUCAACUAAACUCUUAACAUUGUUUAGCAAUUCAUAUCUUAUACACUUGCAAGUUAACUUUUGUUUAAUCUUCUGAUCGAUAUUGCAAAUGAGCUCGUUGUAAUGCUCUAUUUUAUGUAUAUUUAUGUUAUGAGUUAAGAAAUUAGCGCUUUAAAAUUUUCUUUUGCAGAUUAUGAAACAACUGGAGAAGGAAUCGAUUAAAUGGAAUGAGGAAGAGAAUGGUCGGAUAAUAUCAAUUCGAGUUGAUGUAAUCAACCCAAAGCUCCUGAGUUUUGCAAAGAAGAAGAAUGAGACAAACAUGGGAUCCUCCUAAAUCAUUUCGAGGCUUUUGGCAACACAGGGCGUGACUAUAGCGAUAACGUCAUAGAGGAAGAUUGAACACUUGAACAACUUAGCCAAAACCUGGCAAUGGUUUUUUUUUUUUUUUGUUUAAUUCAAAUUCUGAAUAAAGUGUUCAUGUUGAAUUUUGUCCUUUUUUCCCUUGGUUUUCUUACGAGCAUGGUGGUAUAUCCUGGGGUUCAUGCGUCUUCCAUAGCUGCAAUAUCAAAACAUUGUUUGAAUGCAUUUGACAUCGAUACAACAGCAAAUGUUUUUUCAGUUAAUAAAAUUUUUGCGUGAUAGUUUUGAAGUGGUUGUUAGAAAUAAUACCUUAUUGCCUCUUUCGUAAUGUAUAUGGAAUUGAGGAUAAGAGCCUUGUCCCCAUUUAUACAGUAGCAAAAGAGGAGUCACAAUCCAGCAUCAUCGGUUGGGAAAUAGUGGCCAAAUUUCCUUUGAGAGGUGUUAUCUUACUUUAUUUUUCUCCCUGGUAAAACAUUCAAAUCGAAACUGUGCAAGCACAUGGCAAAUCUUCAAAGUCUAGCCAACGUUCGGUUUGACAUUCUCUUCUGCUGGCUGGGCACCCUUUGAUUUUGGGCGAUAUUUUUUCUAGAAUAAAGUGAGCCUAUACAUCAAAGUAAAAGCUGAAGGAAAGGUGUCCCUCUUUGGCUCUUUCAAUAAUGCUGCCAUAAAAGUUUGACUGGAUAAGCACCGCACAUGGCCAGUGGUCACCACGUCAUAGAGUGAAUUUGAAGAGAAUUUUCCCUUCCCCUUCCCAAAAGGAAAUUUAGAACAGACUAGAUUCAUCAAUGGUGCAGUUGAGCCUUUGUGGCUUGCUUUUAGAUAUGAUAAUUUGUGUUUUGUUUGAUUAUUUUGUCAUAUAUGUAUAAAAUACAAAAUUAUAACAUUAUAAUUCGCGUCGAUACAUAAAAUAUCAAUAAAUUUUUAUUUUUUUUAAUUUAUAUAUAAUUUUUUAUUUAAAUUUUAAAUCGUAUCAUUUUUGUUAUCUUUUCGUGUUCGUUAUCAUAUCAUACCAUGUUAUCAUCGUUGUCAUUGUGUGGUGUUAGUGUAUUUUAUUUAAAAUUAUCAAAAUCUAAUUAUUUUUAAGUAUUUUGGGAUUAUAAUUGAUACCAUAGUUCACUCUGAUUCACAUAAGUGAACUAAAUAAUGAUGUAUCAGCGAUCCAUCACAUAAGAGAACCAGGCAUGGUGCUUAUCAAAUAUAUACAACAAAGGACUUAAAAGAUUCAUGCAAAAAGAAACCAGAAAUGGAAAUGAUAACCAGAAGGUAAGAACACUAUAUUAUAUUAAGGAUUCAUGAAGUCUAUUGAAAAUUACACAAAAUAUGAUCAUUGAGUAAGCCUCUGCAUCUCAUUUUGGUCAUUGAGAGUUUCAAUGAGAAGGGGAGGUGCAUAUUGGGCUGUUCCCUGGUGCUCCUCUGAAUCCUGGCAGAAUGAAAGAAUUAUGGUAUCGAUCGACAUCUCCACCACGGCAAAGAAGAGAGUUGCAACUACAUAACCAAGAGCCCAACAAACCUGCAAAAAACACAUUGCAAGCAGGAAUUUUAACACUAGCUAUCAGAGUAACUUUAGAAAACUGCAAGCAGCAAAAAAACGAUUUCAUAUCAUUGAAAAUUUGAGCUUAAUAUGUUUGCUUGCUCAUGGUUCAUGCAUGUAUAAAUGUCAAUCUCUCACCUACAAAAAAUUACAAUACUAAAGUCCAAAGAAUAGAAAACAUACCAGCACAGGAAGCAAAGGGGAGGAUAUUUUGUUAUGAGAAGAUCUAUACUUGUGGGUAUCCAACAUGAGGAAACCAAAAACAGCACUUGAAAGGCUGACACACAACUUCCCAAGAAAUAGGAUAACAUCUCCUAUUACAUUCACCCUCCCUAUUCGCAGGAUGUUAUUCAUGAUCAAUUCUGUUGCAAUUGCAGAAGCUCUACAGAAGCUUUUCCCAGUUAUAGCAAUCUGUUAGAACAAGUUAACAUUGAAGAUAAAGUUCAGAGUGGCCACACAACAAGAAAUAAAUCCACAAAACUUGGGCAAAUAGACUCCUAGUUAGGUCUAAGUGCAAGAUAAUAAGUCCUAUAACAAAGUUCUUGAAUGUGUGAAUGAAACAAGAGAUCACAACAUUGGCAGUUGUAACGACAAAAGUGAUACGAAUGAUGAAAAAGAGCCGGCUUUUGCAAAUUUUUUGUUCUUUUACUCCUCAUUGACCACCAGCAUCAACUUGUUAGGUUUCCAUGGGAAGGCUGGUGUCAGGCAUUUCCCAGACAGAAAAGCAAACAUAGAAUUUCAUUUUCCUCUGUUCCCUUUACUUUUUUUAGGAUAGAUAUACAAAUAAUAAUAAUAAUAACGUAUAAGCAUUUGGAAAAUGUAUGGAUAUGUUUAGUUUUAUUCAAAACUAGUUCUGGAAGAAUACCAUUAUAUAAGCAUUGCGAUUCACUGAUUUGAUUGUCCACUGAACACAUCUCAAACAUCCCUGCGAAGUAUGAUAUCCCAUCUUUCCAAACCAACUAUCUGGUGUAGUACCAGCAACUUUGAGUUUACGACGAAUUGACUCAAGAAUGAAACGAAUUGAUUCUACAAAGGAUACAAUCAAUGAUCCAAGGGCCACAGACCCAAGGCUGUAUCGUAUAAGCCGCUUCAUAGAGGCAAAAACAGGAAGAAAUGGGAUCUCUGGCUGCAAGAGUGAACCACAGAAAUAUUCAGGGAAGAAUAAAUCAUCAGGAAUAAAUACCUCCAAAAAGAAAAGGAAAAAAAAAAAAGGAAAUAGAGACAUAAAAUUCUUAAGUAAGAUAAUGUGCACACUUAUAAAUAUAUUCUUUAUUGUGUUACUAUAUUACUUACAAAUAUAUACAAAAUAAUUUCCAUAUUACUUAGAAAUAGAUACAGAGUAAACUAAAGAAUAUGUCAAUCUUGCACAAGCAGUUCAACUAUAACUUUAAGAUCUUUGGCAUUUGUAUAAAACCCAGCUUCAGGUUUUGCUUGAUUUGGGAGGUUCUAAACUGUUUGCAGAGUGGCUGUCUACAACCAUGACCACCAGCAUAGAAAUUUGUAUACAAACAGCAUGUAAUGUAUACCUGUGAAACUAUAAAGUGGUAGUAGCUUACCGAUGUUUCACCUCGAGCCCAAUAGUAAGAGGCAACAGAACCAGCAAUCACAGUUGAAGAACAUGCUAUGAAAAAUUGUGUAGCCCAGUAACACCCAAACAGGUGGAAGAAGAUGGCAACAGCAAUAUGAGGAGUGUAAUGGAUGCUAUAACCACAGCAACGAUCACAAUUAACCUUUUUCGACUCAAGAUCAUAAGCACAGCAGUUGGUAUUACAGUUGUCUUGGAUGACCUGACCAGAACUGAAAAGAUGGAGAGCAGCUGAUAUCCAGAACAUGUAAAAAAUAGCAAGAAUCGCAUAUGGUAUGAUAGGAAAAAUGAUCAGUGCUUGUGCUUCUCCUAUGACCUUUGCAGCAACCUGCAUUCGGUUGGAAGGAUAAUAUCAUCUUUAGCUCUUUUUUAUAUUAUGAAACCAAAAUGACCAUUAUAACAAAACAAAAACCAAAGAACACCAUUAUAGACCAAGGAAAAGUAAAGAGCAAAAAUAGGCACUGGUACAACCUAAAACGGGAAAAUGCAUGAUUAGGAGGUUUAUCUUGUCUAUCCGGAUGCACCAUUGGCAAUAUCAGAACUCACACUAGAGAAAACAUUUGGGUUCUAGAACAGGGAUUUUUAUGCAGCCUAUUGCUCAAUCUCACAGAAGCAUCCAGCUUCUGCUGUACAAGUGCUAGCCUAGAUUAGUACUUGACAUCUAGGAAGACACAAGAUGUAACUUGGCACUUCCAUCCUCCAAAGAAAUUCUUAACUGUAAGUCACAAAGAACUCAACAUCUAGGAACAAACAGAAGUGUGUCUUAAAAGACUAUUCUAAGCCACACUAGCUGAUGCAAACGCAAAUCACUUUAAAACAUCAUGAUCUAAGUAAUUGAAUCAUUUGCAUGCCCCUAGAUGCAGAAAGCACUAUUUUUUUCUUUUCCUUUCUUUUCAGAGCCAUGUCAAAUUAUCUAACAGUAUAGGUUUCAGAAAGUCUGGUCCUCCUCACAACAUAUGAUAACUAAAUCAUACUUGCCUUCAGGACCGAUGUUGCCAUUAGGAUGCGGCGAACAAUUGCAAUAGAUGUUAGGAUGGAAACAACCAUAACAGAUGUCAUAAGAAUGGCAACAGCACGUAGAUGAUUUAGUUCCUGAAAGAAGCAAAUCUUUAGCAUGUACAAAAUACAAAUAUACCAGUUAUUAUUAAAGCUACCUAAUAAAGAUAAAAACAAUAACCCACCCGUCCAUAAACAUGUAUGUAUGGAUCAUGCUCACCAAUGAUAGGGGAGAUGGCAUCAUUCCCAAUCCAUCCAGCUAAAAAGCAAGAAGAACAAGAUAAAUUUAGUAUUUUAUUGAAACUAGUAGUUCUCCUUGCAUUCAAAUACAUACACGAAACAAAUUAAACUAUUUCUAGUAUGAAUUCUGAAUUUACAGUAUCUGGUAAAGAAUACUAAGAGGUAAGAGGAAUACUUUUAACCUUUUAAGUAGUAAAACAUUGUAACUGUUAUUAUGAGAAUGUUAAAGAGGGCAACUGUGAUCCAUGGCAUUGCAGUAACAAAAUGGCGAAUCAUUAACAGCCAUACUACUGACAGAAAUAGUGGCAAGAGCCCUCCACAAACUAUCAAUACUGGCCAUGCCUUUCCAAUAUCAGCCAUGUAACGCUGCAAUAAUACAUGAGAUUAACUUUAAAAUCUAGAAUAUGUAAAUUCAUAUUUCAUAAAGUUAGAUGAUAACACUUUUCAUUUGUUCGUCACAAUAAGUAUUAAAUAAGCAACCACAUUGAGGAUUGCUUUGCCCAAUAACCAAUAAGUUGACAGAACCUAGAAGUACAUACGAGGAUAAAUUACAGAAAUGUAGUAACAAACUCGUCAUACAGGCAAAGAAGAGUAAUCAUAGUUUAUUGAUAAAUCUCAAGGAGUUAACAGUUCAAACACAAUCUCUCUCUCUCUCUCUCUCUCUCUCUCUCUCUCUCAUCCCCAAUCAAAACAAGCUAGGCAGGAAAUUGAUAUAGGCAAGAUAAUUAAGAUACAUCCUUGACAAGCAUAAAUGUUUUGCAGGAAAGUUGCUCAACCUUUAAGACAGAUGACCGAGAAUUGAUGGACCUGUGAAUGGAUUUAUCUAUUACAAUAUCCUCAUUGAUUUUCACUCCACCCAUCUGUUGCCAAUGCCGCAAAGAUGAGUUUGAUGCACGAGCAAUGAAUUGGCAGCUCCAGUAAACUGGAAAAGCAUACAUUAAAUAAUUCAUAAGAUGGUAAAAGAAAAUGCAUGUAUGCUUUGAUGCAAUAAAUAUUAAACUAUAAAACAAGAAUUUUCAGUUAUACCUACCAUUCACACUAGGAAAUAUAACAGGGUAACAUGGACCCUGGAGUUGAAGGGAAGCAUUUCUCAUUUCUGGUGUAAGGAAUUCAUAAUAAUCGUAAUUUCUAUCGAUCCAGUCAUCCAUUGAAAGGCGGAUAUCCCCUUCUGGAUAAUCACAGACCCAAUUUAGUGAAUCUUCUGAUGGAAUAGGGCAAUCCAACAAGCAUAUGCUCCGAGCAUCAGACAAUUUGAAUUGGCUGUCCUUCACACCACUUUGAUAAACUUGAUUUGGAUUCAACCAAUACUUGAGUUCCAACUCACGAAGACCUGGAUCAGCGUGUUUGUCACCGCAUAAAUUCCCUUUGUAGUCUAGGCCAUAUGUAAGCCUGAUAAGCCAUCCAACAUAGAAAAAUUAUCAAAAUCACAAUAGAGAAAAUAGAAAAAGCUGAAUUGAAAAACAUAGAGUAAGAAGUAGAAUAAGCAAAACAAAAUGAAGGUACAAUACAUACAUGAAUAGGCAAACAGCACCAUAUAGACCUCAUACCCCAAAGAAAUGGAAAGAAAAUUUUUUUUCCACAAAAUAUCAGUAAUUUUCAUUGGUUCCAAGGCCAAAAGUGUUUUCUAAAUCUAAAUGAAUAGUUCUGUAACUAACUCUACAUUACUUCUAAGAUAAGGUGCCGAUGGUCAAGCGGCCAAACUAUGACACCGCCAAUCUCAUAAUUGGAAAAUGUGAGGUUACAAUAUGAUAUAUAAGGAAAGACUUAAGCCCAUAGUUGUGAGGCAUCUUUUGUAGAACAAAACUGCGAAACCUUCAACGUAAAGCGGACAAUUCCAUGCAAGUUAAGUGCAGGUCUCAACAUAAACUCAGGUUUGUCACAUUCAAAUAACUGAAACCAGAACAUAUAUAGGUACUAGUACUCUACAAUUAAAAUCCCAAAGUACCAAGAAAUGCCACAGCCUUACGUAUUGAUCAUCUCUAGCUCAGCUAAGUCCCUGCAAUUCUCAUCUUUAAUCCUGUUUACAAAUAGAUCAGUUAACUGGUUACUAACUACUAGGCGCAACUCUGAAGUUUAGUAAGUACCUACAUUUAUUCCAUAGCCACUGCCUCUUGUCUGCUUCAAAAACCAACAAGAGGGUUUAUGAUGAUUUAUCCAAACAAAGUGAAGGUUGACAUACAAGUCUGAACCAAUUUAAUUAUCAAAAAGGUUAAACCUGAAAUUAGAUGCAACUACAAGUAUCAUCUGAAAACAUAAUUAAGAGCCUGGUUUUGGUAUUACAAGAGUGGCAGCCCCGCAUUCAUAACUUCUGUAUGAUCGUGCAACCAUUUUUCCUACAGGGAACUUCUAAUUAUCUAGUAUGGCCUUUACAAGCUAAGAUGGCAAAUGACGCUAUCCGCAGUUAUCAUCUCCCUGAGAAGAAGCUAUAAACAUAUAACUAAGAAUCGGUGAUUGGUAGUUAACAUCUACAAUGGAGUCAAAAAUUAUUCUAGAACAAAUUCAAGUCAAUUUUUUACCAAAAGACUCAUAAAGAGACCCAUCAGAGCUAAACUAUAAGGAAACCAAAUGAAGGAAUCCAUUUAAGAGAUAAACAAAACAUACCAUAAAAACCCCAAUAAACUGCAAUCUAUGCCAAAAUAAAAGAUGCCCAUUUUGAGAUUCAAAAAAAAUAUUAAGUGGGUAAAGCUUAUAAAAGGAAAUAAAAUAAAAUAAAAUAAAAAAGAAGGAAAGAAAGUUUACCUUGAUGGGUUUCCUUGGUUAAACCCAAAGCUGGAGUUAACAAUCAUAGCAACCCAAAAUGCUAUAAAAAUAACAAGAAAAGCAACAUCUCUACAUUUCCUAUUGUGCCUAAUGAUCCCUCCAAUUUGUGUAGUUCCAUCACUUGAUGGAUACCUUCCUAUCACUGCCCCCAAAGGACCCCUCAUUUUUUCUUAGAAUUAAACAAGAAUUUUAGAAUGGGUAAAGGAAGGGAAUUUGCAGAGCCAGAGAGAGAAAAGGAAGAGCUUUUUGAAGAGUGGAGUGGAAGCUUAGGAAGUGUGAAACUAGGCAGAGAAGAAAGGGCUUUAGAUUGGAAUAAUUUUUAAUGUAUUUUUAGUUUUCAUUUUAAGACAAAGAUUUGUUGCUUUUGAAUAAAAAAUAUUAGUUAUUGUCUUAAGAGUCCAUGUCUGGUCGUGGCUUAGAUUUUGACUGUCCUGUUGGCUUGGCUUGAGAGCCUUCGUUUAGAUAAAUGUCUUGCACUUGUUUUAAUUAAAUUUUAAUGCCGGGUUAAAAGACAAAUAGAGAUUGAGGUGUCUGAAGCUGUGUUAUGAGCCGUUUAGCCAUAUAGCCCAAGACAACAAAUCCACUAAUAAAACUCGCCAUUAUGGAAUUAUCUUUUUUAAUUAAUCUUUAUUCUUUGUUUAUAAUUAUAUUCGUAAUAUAAAUAUCUUGCGCCGCUCCUUUGAAAAGGACAUUACUAUAUAUCAGUGGACUUUUUUUGUCCUACAUAUUCCCUUCUCUCAAAACCGUUGAUCUUCUUCAAAAGUGUUUUUGGUUCACUUUUCAAGAUCCAUCCAACGGUGGAGAAACAUGGCUAAAAUUUACCCCUUUUCUUGUCUUUUCUUCCUUUGUGGGGUAAAAAUGGGAACUUGAUAAAUUUAUUUCAUUUCACCUAGCACAAGGAAUCUUAGCCCACAGUCAGCAUUCCUGGUGACAAAGGCUUGUCCGGAUCUGUUGAUUUCUACAGUGGGUUAAUUUUUAAUUUUUAUUUUAUACAAUUUUUCUUGAACAGUCUGUCAUGCAUGUUCUUUUUAAAGGCCCAAAGGUGGUUUUGAGUCUUGACUAAUGAAGGGCUUGUUUGGUUAUAGGGACUUUGAGAAUGCAGUUUCCUUUGAAGAGAGAAAGAAGACAUAUAGAAGAAGAUGACUAUGAUGAUGGAUCAUAUGGAGAAGACGAAGAAAAGGUAAGAUUUUUCAUUUUUAAGCUUACUGAAUAAGUGCAGGUUCGGUUACUUAUCUCCUCUAAUAUAUUUAUAUAUUUCUGAAUUAACCCAAUUUUUUUGCAAAAAUAAAAGUACCCGUUGUUUUUUUCUGUUGGAUUUGAUCUUGAAUGUUCAUUUUCCCUCAUUUGUAGUAGGAAAUAGCUUUAAAAAUGAUGCCUUUUCCCUCUUUCUUCACCAUAUUUCUUAACAGUACAGUAUUUUGUAAUUGUGACAUUUUUUCUGAGAAAAUGUAUGUUUAUUAUUCAGUCUCCUGACAUGGAUGUAGAUAGAAUCAGUUACUUGCCAAACAAAGUUCUUUGCCACAUCAUUUCCUUUCUACCAGCAAAACUUGCAAUGAGAACCACCAUUUUAUCCCCUAAAUACAGAUACCUGUGGGGUUCUGUUCCUGUUCUUGACUUUGAUGAUACAUUGUUGUUCAAUGGUAGCAAUGGUGGUGUUCAUGGGAUAGGAGGUGUGUGAAUCUUGGACACAUACAUUUCGUCUUCAUUGUAGUAGGCGUCAUAGUUUUCAUCUUAAUGCGUGGAUUAACAAUGCUUUAUCUCUAUCUCUAUAUUACAAAAGUAGCAAGUGAUUUUUGGUACGUAGUUGAGUACACCGUCACCUAAUAUUAGCUAGUGUGCUCAAUCUCUCAAGAAUUGCAAACCAAAUAAUAAAACAAUGUCUUGGGGGUGAUCAGGAAUUCCAAACUAAUUGAUGCCAAACCACAGUGGGUUAUUUAUUGCCUAAUCCAGUUCCAUUUAUCUGAAAGUAUAAAUUUGUCAAACUUUGAUGCCUAGCAUCCUCUUCUUCAGUAAAGGUGAGGCUAGCCAACUCCUGCUGCAAAUCCCGUAUCCGUAAUGGAAUAGUGAGAUUCUGGGUCCAAUCAUUUGUUAAGAGAGUAGAGGCCACAGUUGUAUUGCAAGAAAUGCAACCUGUGAUAUUAUAUUCAUACAUCUAAGCCUACAUAAAAAAAUAAAAAAGUUAAGAUAAAUAAUAUAAAAAAUGCAAAAUAAAAAACGUGAAACUUAUCCAAAAUUAAGUGAAAAAGAUUACUAUAAUAUUGGGAAUUUGAUAAAGUUAAUUCACCCAAUCAAAUAGGUUGGCGGAGAGGAUUUAUAAUAAUGUUAACAAAAUUUAUUAAUCGUUGUCACCUGAUAAAGUUUAAUAACAAAAAAAUACUAUACAUUAUUUAAAAUGAUGAUUUAGAUCUCUGUUUUUAUUAUUCACAAAUCCACAUUAAUCUAUAUAAAAGGCAAAAUUAUAUUUGAUAUUUUAUUCAUUAAAACUGAAAUCAACUUGAACUCAAGUUCGAAGCCAGAAGGCGAAGAUGUAAUCAGCUCCUUGCCAGAUGUUGUUCUUCGUCACAUCCUGUCCUUCCUACCAACAAAACUUGCAGUGGCAAUGAGCAUAUUAUCGCAAAGAUGAAGGUUUCUCUGGGCUUCCGUCCCUGUUCUUGACUUUGAUGUUCCAUCCCGACAAAGGUGGUGUCUAUGGGAUAGGAGGUGUUGAGUCAGACUGAAUCUUGUACACAUACAUUUCGUCUUAAUUGCUGCAGGCGUCGUAGUUUUCAUCUUAAUGCAUGGAUUAAUAUUGCAUUAAAACGUAAAGCACAAGCGCUUGAUCUGUGCAUUGACAUGUACAUAGACUACAAGCGUUUUGCUCAUGUUGCCAGUCAAAAUUAGGUGGUUUUGAAACUGGGAAGACAUCUUGAACUAGAUAUUUAUGGAAUAUAGAUCACGACCACAACUUUUAAUAUAAAUAACGUUUUAUAAUUAUUAUAUUAUAAUUAAUUAAUUAUAAUUUAAAAUUAUAAAAAAAUUUAUUAAAAUUUUAUAUAAAAUUUAUGCUUAUAAAUAGCGCUCCCCAUAUAAAUUUUAUAUGAAGUUAGCUUCCUUUCAAAAGCGUGUUCAAUUACUUGACUUUGUAAACAACGUGUGCGCUCGUUUUAUUUGACUUGGUCAGAAAAGAAAAAGCCAUUAAGAGGCUGGAAAGCCGUACCAUUUUUUUUUUUUUUGUUGGAAAACCAUAGCUCAACAAUUUUUACAAGGUGAUAUUGCGAGAACGUCUCAUAUACAAGAAUCUGAUAUGAAACAAAAUUCAAAUGAUUCAAUCAAAUAAUUAUUUUUAAAAAAUAAUAUUUAUAAAUUUAAAAUUUAAUUUUGUAACUUUCUUAUGUUAAUAUCUUCUUAUAUUUAGGUUUUUGUUAAUUACUUUGAUAAAAUUUUAAUAAAUAUUGCAUAAAAAUACAAAUAGUAUGCAACCGCACAUUAGUUUAUAACAAUGCUAAUUAUAAUAAUAAAAAAUUUUUAUUCAUUGUCAGCAGAGUUUUUCAACUGUAUCUUGUGUAAAAUUUUCAUAUUUAUUCAUUUAAUUUCUAAAUUUUCACUUUCAAUGUUUUUUAUUAUAAAAUUUCAAUUAUAAUUAAUAGUAAUAAGAUUCAUUUAAUAUGUAUUAUACAUAUAUAUAUAUAUAAGAAUUCUAGUUCCAAUAGAUCAUUUUCAUUCGAAAAUGAUUUACAUAUUUUUGAAUUUUUUAUUUAUUAUAUUUUUAAAUUGAAAAGAUCAUAUUAAAUUUUUAUAUUUAUAUAUAAUUAUUAUUUAAAAAUAAAUAAAAAUAUAUUUACGUGUAACACAUUUUGACACUUAUAAUUUUUUAAUUUUAUCCCUAAACUGUUGUUUCUUUUAUACUAAAAAAACUAAUAUAUAUAAAUUGUAAGAAUAUAUGUCAAACUUUUGAACUGCCAAAAAAAUACUAUUUUUUAUUAUAUAUUCUAAACUGUAACAUUUUAAAAUUUUUUUAUUAAAAUUAAUUAUAAACUUUAGUUGAUAGAAAGCAAUUCUACUUUACAUUAAAUUAAGCUUGCAUUAUAUACAUAUCUAUAAUUCUUUGAUUCUUUGUUUAUUUUAGUUUUUUUGUUGCAUAAAAAAAACUACUAAUCUAAGAAGUGAAAAAAGUACUGAGAAUACAGUAGUUGCAGGUGACUACGUACAUACUAGUGUUUUAUAAAUAGAGCCAGUAGAAAGAUUAUACGAAUGCUACGUGGGUCAAUGUCAUCCUUUGAACUUUGCAGUCAAAUGUCUAUAUAGAAAUGAUUAAUUAACGAGAGAAGCUCCAGAAAUUAUCCCUUCCCAACGCAUUCCGCGGGGAUUGAUAUUGAUAUUUGUCAAACUUUGCAGUCAAACAUGUUUGUUGUCACAGAAACUGGGUAGCAGAUUGGGUUAUCUUCAUUAUUCAACGUCUGAUUCCUUUCCUCUGGUUCAUCGAUUCGUUACUGCAUCAUGAGUUUCAAAUUGUCCUUCCUUCUGUUGAUGAAUGUAUUUAUUGUUAUUUUCUUCUUCGCUGUAAGAAAAUCCCUUGCGGCGGAGGAAGAUUACUUUACAAUCUGCAGCGUCUCCAGAAAUUGUGGUAGGCUCAACAUAAAGUUCCCAUUCUUCAUUCUGGAGCAGGACUCUGCAUGUGGUUAUCCGGGAUUCAACAUCUCCUGCAGAAACAACACACAACCAAUUCUUAGCUUUCCUGACGGCGACUAUGUCAUCCAUGAUAUCUUUUAUCAGAAUCAAUCUUUUCGCGUGUCAAAAGACAUCGCUUUUGCUAGAGAUGCGGUUUGCAGCCAUUCAAUCUCAAACAUUUCCUUUCCUGAAGACCGGUUUUAUCUCCCCUCAGACCAAAGACAAAUAUUUUUGCUCUUCAAUUGCGACUUAACCUUAUUGACCAGGGAACUUUCACAGUCCAAGGUUAAUUGUUCUGCUGAAGCUAAUACAACGUUGGCACUGUUUAAUAACGAUCCUAUGCAGUAUUUUGCUUCAGAAAUGUGUAAUAACACGGUGGUGGCGCCUGUGGCUACAUCAUAUGAAGGAGAGGGAAGUAUCGAAGAUAUAUUGAAUAGAGGAUUUGUAUUGAAUUGGAUAGCGAGCAACUGUAGCACUUGCGAGGCAAGUGGUGGAAAGUGUGGAUUUGAUUACAGUACCUACCAUUUCAAGUGCUUUUGCCCGGAUAGACCUCACGCUUGGUACUGUCCUCCUGGUAUGCAUUUUUCUCUCGCUUUCUUCUUGUUAAUGCAGUCUAAACAAUUAAGAGGAGAAACCUUCUUUUGUUGUCUUGGGAAUUCUCUAUCUUCUCUGUAGGAACAACUGCCAUUUUACAGUUAAUAGCAUAAUAAAGAUCAUUAGACACAUGCACGCACGUAUCAUUAAAUAUAAGCAUGCACUAUUAUCUAUUUGAUACAAGCACGCUUGAAAAGCAAUCCAAGUAGGAAUGAAUUGGAUUAUUAAAAUUUUAACUCAAAGCUCAAAUAUUAUGAAAUUGAUAAUAUAAGUGAAAUAAAUGAUACUAAGCAAUAAAAGAAUAGGGAAAGAAGAUCAAACACAACUGUGAAUAGAGGUUCGACCAUUCUCUAACAAGGUACCUAUUUCCUCUCUCUUAACUUUCAUGGUCAAGCUGAGUUUUGGCUUAGGAAAUACAAGGAUUGGAUUUUUGCUGUUUGAAUGCUCUAGAAAUGAUAGCUUAGUUUUUCCAUAUAAAUCAUGGAUCUACAUAUUUUUGAAAAAUUCAGACCCGUUAGAAAUUAAGAUGAAAAGGGAUAGCGAAAUUUGGUAUGAUUAUGAAAUUUAAAGGACUACCUUUUUUUUGUUCGUAGAUAAUUCAAAGUAGAGAUGCGAUGAUGUACAAAUUUUGGUGUAUUUCAAUUUCUCAGAAAAAAUACACUCUUUGACUCUCCAUUAGUCUCCAAUCAGUCCUGAAUCCCGAUAGAAACUAGCCCACUUUGUCCCUUUUUUUCUAUUGUAAUCAGAUUAUACAUUUGCAUUUUCGUUUCUCAUGUUGCAGGAAAUGAUUCUACUGGUUUUGUUAUUAAAGUUGCAACAGGUAAUUUACAUAGUCAUCAAGCUGAUUUGCCUUUUUUUUUUCUUCGGUAAUCAGAUUAUACAUUUCACUCAUGAUUUGGAGGAAAAGUCAUUUAAAAAAACCUCUGUUUCUUGAAAAUAUAGAUUGAAAUGUUGUGCACAUGAGCAUUUGGCUCAAUGUUAUCUUUAAAUAAAGCCUAUCUUUGAAUGCAGCUUCUUCAGUUGCUGGAGCAGUAGUGUUAAUUCUUCUUGUCGUCUGCUUGAUCAAAAGAUUCUCAUUCAAGGAUGGAACGGAAGGAGAUAAGAAAAUUGAAGCCUUCCUAAAGGGCCAUGAAUUCCAAACACCCAAAAGGUAUAGAUAUUCAGAUAUCAAGACUAUGACGAACUCAUUCCGGGAUAAAUUAGGUAAAGGAGGCUUUGGGGAUGUUUACAGAGGCAAGCUGCCAGAUGGACGACAAGUUGCAGUGAAGAUUUUGAAUAAAUCAAAAGGCAAUGGGGAAGAAUUUAUGAAUGAGGUAGCAAGCGUUAGCAGAACUUCCCAUGUCAAUGUGGUCAGUCUUUUGGGCUUCUGUUUUGAGGGUCGCCGGAGGGCUCUCAUCUAUGAGUUCAUGAAAAAUGGAUCACUCAACAAGUUCAUAUUUCAAGAGAAGGAACAACGUCAAUUAAAGUGGGAAACUUUGUACCAAAUUGCAGUUGGCAUAGCUAGAGGGUUAGAAUAUUUGCACCGUGGCUGUAACAUGCGCAUUCUGCAUUUUGACAUCAAGCCUCACAACAUUCUCCUAGAUGAUGAGUUCCGUCCAAAGAUAUCUGAUUUUGGUCUUGCAAGAUUGUGUCCCGAAAAAGAAAGUGCCAUAUCCAUGACAGGUGCGAGAGGAACUGCCGGAUAUAUUGCUCCUGAAGUAUAUUCAAGGAAUUUUGGAAGAGUGUCUCACAAAUCCGAUGUCUAUAGUUAUGGAAUGAUGAUUUUGGAGAUGGUUGGGGGUAGACAAAAUAUUAAUGUGGAAGUUGAUCAUACAAGUGAAAUAUAUUUUCCAUAUUGGAUUUAUAGUCGUAUAGAGUUGGAUGAAGAUUUAGGAUUACAGGGUGUUAUGGAUGAAGAUGAUCGAGAAAGAGUAAGAAAGAUGAUAAUUGUGAGCUUGUGGUGCAUACAAACUGACCCAUCAAAUCGCCCACCGAUGAGUAGAGUGGUAGAAAUGAUGGAAGGGAACAUUGAUUCCCUCUGCAUCCCACCCAAGCCUUUCUCAUCGUCACCUCCAAGAUCUCCACCUGCAAAUCCUGAAGUACAACCGGUAUCCUGACAUUGUUCUUCCAUUCAAGUAUUGGAAAGGGAAGAUCCAAGUGCUAAGACAUGAAGGACUGUGAAUGAUGUCGCAUAUUCUUAUGUUUCAUUUCUGUAGAAUUCUACAGAAAAAUGCACCACAUAGAAUAAUUCUAUGGAAAAAUGAAUUACAUAUAAAUUUUAUUGAUUGUAGAAUCUAAAAGUACUAACUCCAAUAUUCAUACCAGAAAAAAGAGAAGACCUCAAAUGCCGUCAUUGAAACUCCUGAUGAGAUAAUAUACUAGUACUCUGAAAUCACCAGCCACCCAAAAUCAUAAAGAAAACAAAUCUGCAGAACGGCCGAUGAAGAUUGCAACGGGGGAUAAGAAUGCAUGGAGUAAUUUACUCCUAUUCUAAAGAUUAUACUCCACAGGUUUUCGUUCUAACAAAAUAUCAGGCAUUAUUCUAUUGAUGAAUAUUUGUUGUCAUAACAGCUUGGCAUCAGCUAAUUGACCAACUUUCCAAUAACCACGAAUUAGAAUUGAAAAUGAAACUACGGAAAGUAAUAAAUGUCUAUCUACAGUACAAUGGAAUUCAUGUCAUGCUUCCAACAUUAAUUUUUGUCUGCCAAAGCUAUCAAUGAGGACGCUAUAACUGAAAACAUUAGUCGCUAUAAUACAUACAAUCUUAAAUUAAUCCACAAACAAAAAUUGGCUAAAAAGCGCAACUGCAGCAAAAUGGAGCCUAAAUGUUUUCAUUUAUAGAUGGAAGAGACUUCUGUAUUGUGUAAAUUUAUGGAUUAAGUAUCAAGUAAUGUUAUAAGACCAUGAAGAGAUUGUCAUCAUUAGGAUUCAUUCUUCUUCUUUUAUUAAGGCAUUGUAUCUUUGACAUUCUUUCUAAGAAAACAUCCAUUAAUGCAGUGUCCUGUGAGGGGUGUAGAUAGAAUCAGUUACUUGCCGAAGGAACUUCAUGUCAAAUCCUCUCUUUCCUUCCGCUGAAAAUACCGUCCGAACAAGCAUUUUAUCCCCAAAUUGGAGGUUUUCGUGGGCUUCUGUCUCUAUUCUUGACUUUGAAGUUCGAUACUAACAAAGGUGGUGUCUAUGGAGUUGGAGGUCAUAAUUAUGUGGAUAGAGUACUGAUGAGGACAUGUAAAUCUUCUAUGCAUAAAUUUCGUCUUCAUUGCAGUAGGCGCUAUAGGUUUCAUCUCGAUUCAUGGACUUAUAAUGCAUUAGAACGUAAAGUUCAAGAACUUCAUCUGUCCAUUGACAGGUUAAAAGACUAUUUCCUUUCAGUUUCUUCUUUGCCUUGUGAAAUUUGGUGGUUUUGAAGCUGGGAAGAAAUUUAUUUUUAAAUAUUUUCUGGAUCAUACCGUUUUCCAAGUCUGAAGAUCAUUCAUCUUGACGCAAUUGAAUUUUGAAGGAGUUCUUCGAGUACAAAGCUUUUUUCUAGCUUCCCUGUACUUGAAGAGUUGACCAUGAAAGGAUGCAAAUUAAACGGAACACAGAAUCUUCAUGUUUCAUCCUCUUCGUUGAAGUCCUCGACGAUAUAGAUUGCUUGUCAUACGAUCGGUAUGAUGAUUAUUAUCAUGAUUUGAGUGACGAAAGUAUGCUGACACUGGAAUUCUCUUGUCAGAUAAAAAAUUCAUGUUGUUUUGAGUAACCAGAAGAAGAAACCAAAUAUACCUAGAUUUCAAGUUAAGAUACUUAGGUGUAUUUCUAGUGCAAAGUUUCUUAGUUUAUGUGAACCAACUGUGAAGGUCAGCUUCUUCUUCUUCUUGUUUUCUUUUUCCUUUCAAUAUCCUAUCAUGAUUCUUUCAUUCUUUCUCUCUCUCCCUCGCACAUAAAUCCAACAAAGUUAUUUCAUUCAAGUGAAUGAAUAACGCAUUCUGAUUUUUGGAUGUAUGUGGAGCUGAAAUAGGCUUCAAGUCUGUUGAACUUAAAGGUGCCUAACAUGGGGGAGUUUCUUGUGCUAGAUGAGUUGCUUUGGCAUUCUAUUAAGUUUUUUUCAGCAAUCGUUCCCGUAUUUCUUCCGUAAAGUAUUAUUAAUUCUUUGUUUGGUAUGUAGAUUUCUCCUCAGUAAAAGCUGAACGUAUCUCAUGUUUAAUAGUUUGACUGAAUUGAGGCUGAGAUGUAAUGAAGGCUGUGGUUCAUUGCUGCUGAAGUUGCUUGAGAAUUCACCUAAUUUGGAAGUGCUUGUCCUUGGGUAGGUGAGUUAGUUUUAUCAUUAUAAAUUUUUUUUUUAUAUACUUGAUGUUAUCAGGAUUUAAAUCUCGAUUAUUGAAAUUAAAAAUUCAUCGCUCUAUCAACAAAUCAUGUAGUUGUUGACUUUAUAAUUAUAAUUUCAAUUCACUAAUAAUGUGUCCAAAUUAAUGUUGAAUGUCAUUUUUCUGACUUCUGUUCCUGACUUUUCAGGAAAAUGGACGGCUUAACCAGAGGCAGCUUGAUAAACUUGUGUGGAAGCCACCGCCAAAUGCGCCCAAAUGCUUGUUGCACCAACUCAAGACAGUUAGAACUUGGGGUUUGAAUGGACAGGAAAAUGCAGUGAAAUUCAAUACCUAUUUGCAAGGAAUGGCAAUGUUUCGAUGGAACUUGGGCCAUAGUGCUAUGUCUAACAUUGAAGAAUGAUCGAUAGUGAGCUGCUUAUCGAACUUUCGUAAUCAUAUGGUAGUGAAAUGUCCUAUGAACUACCAAAUUUUCUUUUCUACAUUCCUUGCAUCAGAUUUGUUCCUGUUUUUUAGUAGGAGCUGAUUUAUGUUUUCUGAGAGACUGUUUGCAUUUUGAAGUCCUCAUCCUAAAUUCCUAAUGUAUUCUAUUUCAUGUUAUAACAAUUGUGUAGACACAUGCAUGUACUCACUUACAUUAUACAUUCACUUAUUAUAUUUAUUUAUUUUACAUUUAACAUGUAUAAAAAAUAAAAUUUAUUAUAAAAUUUAUCAUAUUAUGUCAUAAUUUAUUUUAGCUUAUCAAAUAUAAAAUAUAUAUUUUAAUUUUUGUCAAAUUCAUAAAAUCAUCAAAGAAGAAUUAUAAUAUAUGAUUGACCAGCCAACAAUAAUAAUAAUAAUAAAAAAAGAUAAUUAACAAAGUAUAUGAUAAAAACAAUCCUGUCCUUUGAAAGGGAUAACAACUGUCACAUUUAUAAGAUGUUUGAUUUCAGCUUAAUUCAUGGAUUAACAUUGCAUUAAAACGCAAAGUUGAAGAGCUUUACCUUUGCGUUGACAGGUGUAAUAGACUACAGUCUUUCAUUUGCUCAUUUUGCUAGUCAAAAUUAGGUGGUUUUGAAACUGGCAAGAAAUCUCGAACUAAAUAUUUAUGGAAUAUAGGUCUCGUCUAUAACCUUUAAUAUAAAUCACAUCUUCUAAUUAUUAUAUUAUAAUUAAUUAAUUAUAAUUUAAAAUUAUAUAAAGUUCAUCAAAAUUUUAUAUGAAGUAAUGGUUUUUAUAUAAAUUUUUUAUUUUGAUUGAAUAAUUUUAAGAUUAUAAUAAAAAAUUAUUAAAUAAAAUGAACCCAACAAACUUUUAAUUUUUAAUUGAACAAAAUUUUAAUUUAGAUCUAAAUGAAUUUUUAUAUUUAAAUUUAUACAGUUAUACUCAAAUAAACUUUUAAUAUAAAUUAAAUUUUCAUUUGAAAUAAAAAUUUAUUUAAAAAUAAAUCAAAAAAUAAUAAUUUAUUUAAGUAUAAUAAAAAUAUAAAAAUUUGCUCAAGAAAAAUAAGAUAGUUCAUAAGCUUUUUUUUUUAGUAUUUUAACUAAUAAAAAAUAAUUAAAAUUGAUCUAUAAAUAGAUGUAAGAAUUUUUUUGAAAUAAUAAAUUGAUAUGAGAAUUAAAUUUGAAGAAACGACGACGUAAGUUGUACCCAUUUUCUCAUUCAAGAGUUAGCUUCCUUUCAAAAGCGUGUUCAUUUUCUUGACUUUGUAAACAACGCGUGCGUUCAUUUUGCUUGACUUGGUCAGAAAAGGAAAAGCCAUUUAGAAGUUGGUGUUGAAAAACCAUACCUUCUGUGUAAAAUUUUUUAUACUUGUUCAUUUAAUUUCUAAAUUUUUCACUUUGAAUUUUUUUUAUUAUAAAUUUUCAAUUAUAAUUAAUAGAAAUAAGAUUUAUUUAAGAUAUAUUAUAUAUAUUCUAAAUUCUGAAAUUUAAAAUUUUUUUUAUUAAAAUCAAUUAUAAACUUUAGUUGAUACAAAGCAAUUCCAACUUACAUUAAAUUAAGCUUGCAUAUAUAUAUAUAUAUAUAUAUAAUUCUUUGAUUCUUUGUUUAUUAUAGUGUUUUUUUACAUAAAAAAAAAUAAACUACUAAUUAAAUUACUAAGAAUACUUUGGUGAAAAAAAGUACUGAGAAUGCAGUAGUUGCAGGUGACUACGUGGGUCAAAGUCAUCCUUUGAACUUUGCAAUUAAAUGUCUAUAUCAGAUGGAAAUGAUGGUACUGAUUACUUUAAUGAGAGAAACUUUUAGAAAUUAUCCCUUCCCAACCGAUUCCGCCGGGGUUGAUAUUGAUUUUCAUCAUUCAGAGAUGUUUGUUGUCACAGAAGCUGGGUAGCAGAUUGGGUUAUUUUAGUUAUUCAACGUCUGAUUCCUUCCUCUGGUUCAUCGAUUCCUAACUGCAUCAUGAGUUUCAAAUUGUCCUUCCUUCUGUUGAUGAAUGUAUAUAUUGUUAUUUUGUUCUUCGCAGUAAGAAAAUCCCUUGCAAUCUGCAACGUCACCAGAAAUUGUGGUAAGCUCAACAUAGAGUUCCCAUUCUUCAUCCAGGAGCAGCAGGAAGCUAGAUGUGGUUAUCCUGGAUUCAACAUCUCCUGCAGAAACAACACAAACCCAAUUUUUAGCAUGCCUGAUGGCGAUUAUAUCAUCCAUGAUAUCUUUUAUCACAACCAAUCUUUUCGCGUGUCAAAAGUUACUCCUGACGUCGAUGAAAUUUGCAGCCAAUCAAUCCGAAACAUAUCCAUUCCUGGUGACUGGCUUUAUCUCCCCCAAGGCCAAGGAGAAAUGGUUUUGCUCUCCAAUUGUAACUCAACCUUGCAAACGAAUUUGACCUGGGAUCUUGGACAGUUUAAGGUUAUUUGUCCUGCUGAAUAUAGAACUAAAAUAACGUUGGAAAUGUUCAGUGACAACCCUAUGCUGGAUUAUGCUUCAAAAUAUUGUAAUAAAUCGGUGGUGGUGCCUGUGGCUUUUUAUGAUGGAACAGAUCCGGGUAUUAACGAUGCGCGAGGCAGGGGGUUUGUUUUGAAUUGGAUAGCGAGCGACUGUAGCAUUUGCGAGGCCAAUGGUGGCAAGUGUGGAAUUGAUAAUAGUACCCGCCGUUUCAAGUGCUUUUGCCCGGAUAGGCCGCACUGUACUCCAAGACCUGGUAUGCUCUUUUCAAGAUCUAAAAAAAAAAAAAAUCAAAUCAAAUCUCAAUACACGACCUAAUAGCGUAUAACUAUGAGAAAACUUGACAUAUAUCACCUUGGUUUUUCCUUGGAGGAUAUAUAAAUCAUGGAUCUACUUAUGUUGAAAAGUUCAGACCCGUCAGAAAUUAAGAUGAAAAGGGAUAGAGAAACUUGGUAUGAUUUUGAAAUAUAAAAGAUUUGCUUUUUUUUUUUGUUCAUAGAUAAUUCAAAGUACAGAUGCGAUGAUGAACAAAUUUUGGUAUAUUUCAAUUUCUCAAAAAAGUACACUCUUUGACUCUCCAUUUGUCUCCAAUCAGUCUUGAAUCCUGAUAGAAACUAGCCCACUUUUGUCUUUUUUUUUUCUUCUUCGGUGAUCAGAUUAUUCAUUUGCAUUUUCAUUUCUCAUGUUGCAGGAAAUGAUUCUACUGGUUUUGUUAUAAAAGUUGCAACAGGUAAUGUACAUAGUCAUCAAGCUGAUUUGCCUUUUUUUUUCUUCAGUAAUCAGAUUACACAUUUCACUCUUAUGAUUUGGAGGGAAAGUCACUUAAAAAAAGCCUCUGUUUCUUGAAAAUAUAAAGAUUGAAAUGUUGUGCACAUGAGCAUUUGACUCAAUGUUAUGUUUAAAUAAAGCCUCUCUUUGAAUGCAGCUUCUUCAGUUGCUGGAGCAGUAGUGGUAAUUAUUCUUGUCUGCUUGAUCAAAAUAUUGUCAUCCAAGGAUGGAAGGGAAGGAGAUAAGAAAAUUGAAGCCUUCCUAAAGGGCCAUGAAUUCCAUACACCAAAAAGGUAUAGAUAUUCAGAUAUCAAGACCAUGACAAACUCAUUCCGGGAUAAAUUAGGUAAAGGAGGCUAUGGGGAUGUUUACAGAGGCAAGCUGCCCGAUGGACGACAAGUUGCAGUAAAGAUUUUGAAUAAAUCGAAAGGCAAUGGGGAAGAAUUUAUGAAUGAGGUAGCAAGCAUUAGCAGAACUUCCCAUGUCAACGUGGUCACCCUUUUGGGCUUCUGUUUUGAGGGUCGCCGGAGGGCUCUCAUCUAUGAGUUCAUGAAAAAUGGAUCACUCGACAAGUUCAUAUUUCAAGAGAAGGAACAACGUCAAUUAAAGUGGGAAACUUUGUACCAAAUUGCAGUUGGCAUAGCUAGAGGGUUAGAAUAUUUGCAUCGUGGCUGUAACACGCGCAUUCUGCAUUUUGACAUCAAGCCUCACAACAUUCUCCUAGAUGACGAGUUCCGUCCAAAGAUAUCUGAUUUUGGUCUUGCAAGAUUGUGUCCCGAAAAAGAAAGUGCCAUAUCCAUGACAGGUGCAAGAGGAACUGCCGGAUACAUUGCUCCUGAAGUUUAUUCAAGGAACUUUGGAAGAGUAUCUCACAAAUCCGAUGCCUAUAGUUAUGGAAUGAUGAUUUUAGAGAUGGUUGGGGGUAGACAAAAUAUUAAUGUGGAAGUUGAUCAUACAAGUGAAAUAUAUUUUCCACAUUGGAUUUAUAGUCGUAUAGAGUUGGAUGAAGAUUUAGAAUUACAGGGUAUUAUAGAUGAAGCUGAUCGAGAAAGAGUAAGAAAGAUGAUAAUUGUGAGCUUGUGGUGCAUACAAACUGACCCAUCAAAUCGCCCACCAAUGAGUAGAGUGGUAGAAAUGAUGGAAGGGAACAUUGAUUCCCUCAGCAUCCCACCCAAGCCUUUCUCAUCGUCACCUCCGAGAUCUCCAUCUGCAAAUCCUGAAGUACAACCGGUAUCCUAACAUUGUUUUUCCAUUCAAUUAUUGGAAAGGGAAUAUCCAAGUGUUAAGACAUGGAGGACUGUGAAUGAUGUCGCAUAUUCUUAUGUUUCAUUUCUGUAGAAUUCUAUAGAAAAAUGCACUAAAUAGAAUAAUUCUAUAGAAAAAUGAAUUACACAAAUUUUAUUGAUAGUAGAAUCUAGAAACACUAUCUCGAACAUUCAUACCAGAAAAAAUAGACAUCACCUGAUGAAAUAAUAUACUAGUACUCUGAAAUCACCAGCCACCCAAAAUGAUAAAGGAAACAGAUCAGCAGAACGGCUCAUGAUAAUUGCAGCAGGGGAUAAGAAUGCAUGGAGUAAUUUACUCCUAUUCUAAAGAUUAUACUCCAGAAGUGUUUGUUCUAACAAAAUAUCAGGCUUUAUUCCAUUCAUGAACAUUUCUCAUCAUAACAGCCUAGCCUCAGCUAAUCGACCAACAUUGCAAUAACUCUAUGUAACACAAUAAAUGUCUAUCUAGAGUACAAUGGAAUUCAUGUGAUGCUUCCAACAUUAAUCCUUGUUUGCAAAAGCUAUCAAUGAGGAUGCUGUAACUGACAAUAUUUGUAUGCUAUAAUAUAUACAGUCUUAACUCAAAUUAAUCCACAAACAAAAAUUGGCUAAAAUGCACAAUAAUUUCCUUAACUUCUGUUAAGAAAAAAACCACCUAAUUUAUUUUCUCUAAUUACAUGCUUUGGAUGCAUCAUGGGCAGUGGGCCGGAUAAAAAUCCUGUGUUCAAUAAACCUUGGGAGAGGAAAAGCAAAAUAAUGAGCCAAAUAAACCUGAUGAAUCAUAAAGAGCACAUACAUAUAUAAAUGCUUAAAUGAGAGCAUGAAAUGGGUAAAAUUUAUUCAAAAGAAAAGGAACAUUUCUUGCUUGGUAUACAUAAUGCAGGUUUUUUCAUUGAUAUCAAGUGCAGCUCCAUGUGAUCAGUAGCGUUAUUGAUACAAAAUCUUUAACAUUAUUUUCACAAUUUUUUUCAAGCAACAUGAUUUUUACUUAUAUUAACUGAGAUUAAGAUAAUUAACCUUAUAAACAACAUUUAUUUGAAUUAUAUCUCAAAAUUAAAGAAGGGAAAAUCAAUAGGACUUACUAUUAUCUUCAAGAAGAAUCUCUCACUUGAAUGUAAGUUGACAUGUCUCGGAACGUCUUGGAAACUUUGAUAACUUCUGGAGCAAGGCAAACUUUGACUCGAAAGACAUAUCAAAGCUACUACAUAUUUCGAUCAACUCCAAAGCUCUAGCAUUCAUUAAUAUAUACUCCACCAUUUUUAGCUCAUGCUCACAUCCUUCAAAUCCUCUGCAGAGAACUUUUCUUAGGUGUGGGGAUAAACAUUUGGGAAAACACUCUUGCUUAUUCCUCAUGAUUAUUGGAUUCUGUGGCCAUGCAAAAAUUUUCCAGUUAGCACAGAUAGCAUGAUUCAUAAUUAAUAGGACAUCAGCAAUUAGAAAAACAAUGAAAGCCUUUAACAUUGCAGUUGGAUUACAAAAAACUAGGACUAUUUCUUUUAUUAUUUGGGAAAGAGGAGAUUCGAACCCUGAUGUUUACGCGGGACUGUUAUACACCAACAAUUCAGUCAAAUGAUUGAAUACCAAAAGCUAUGAUUUAAACAACAAUGAUUAUAUUCCGUAACGGAUUAAAAGUUUUUAAUUGAACUAACCUCAAGGACAAGGACUUCUAAAUUAGGAGAAUUGUCAAGAAAGUGUGGUAUCACAUCCCAGUCUUCAAAACCAGAAUGUAGCUCUAGUUGGGUCAGAUUAAGAAACAAAGGAAAGGAGGCAUUCUCAAGUGAUGCCUAUAAGAGGAGAAAAAUAAGAGAAUCAUAGUCACCAUAGACAUAUUAAUACCAGAAAUAAACAUAAUAACCAUGGUAAAUAUAAUCAGCAAAAUAGCAUAUACAAAAAGAGAUGAAAAUCAAGCUUUGAUACAGAUUGUGCACAUUCUUACCCUGGAGUUGCCACAACAGGUCCAUUUCAAGAAAAGAAACUUAGCAUUGCAGAGGGCUUUGGCAAGUUGGAACAGGCCAGUUCCAUGAAAAGAAAUAUUUGCUUUGAUUAAGCUAACAAAGACACUUUCCAAGUGCACCAAACUCUCCAAAUCUAUAAUUUCAAGGUACUCAAGAUUCGGGGCAUUUAUCGUAAGCUCAUAAUGGUAACUGUGACUAAAAUAUUCUAACAAGUUUUUUGGUUCUAAAAGCUCACUUAUGUUCAAAGUCUUCAAUGUAGGUACGGAAAUAAUGAAAUUUCUCACAUUAUCUCUGAAAGAUCUGUUUACAAGCAAUUCCUCCAAAACAGUACAACCCUGAAGAAGCCUCGAAACAGAAUCAUUAUUCGCGUAUUCAACAAAAUCAAGAUGCAAAACCUUUAGACUUGGAAAACAAACUGACAUGCUAUUAGGAACAUCGAUAAGAAUUCCUUUACUCAGUUUCAGAACCUUUAAAUUCUUGGUCGUGAAAACACAGCUUGGGAGUUUCAAGAAAUGGGAUUUUUGUGUAGCUGAAACUGAGAUAUCCACUUCUUGGACGAUGUCUUUGCGAAUUGCACCAUCAAUCCAUGCGUUAAGACACGAAGGACCGUGAAUGAUGUCGCAAUUGAGACGAAACUUGUCUAGAGAAACCGCCCUGUUGAGGAUCAAAGCUCUGUAAACGAAGUGCAUGAAGUCUAUUCUCUGUUUUUCAUUGGUUUCGCAACUUGGUGAGUCCUCAAAAUCAAGAACGCGAACCCAAGUCCAAAGUGAAUGCCAUCGUUUCGAAAGAACGGAUGUGGCCACAGCCUCUUUCGUGGGAAGAAAAGAUAAUACGUGGUGAAGAAUAGCAUCAGGCAAAUGGUUAAUGUUUUGGCAAAUCGGGUUUCCCGAUAAUUUUAAGGAAUUUGACAUUGUUAAAGAAGACGUUCAAGGAACUAUAGGGACGGGAUUAGGUGAGCUUAAUUUGUUUGAUUAUGUGACUUAGUCAUCAAGAGCAAUGGUAGAAAACGGAUGAAGAAACAAAGAAGUCUUUUUGAAAGUAAGGUUGGGAUUGGAUUCGUAUGUGACAGUGGUUUAGUGAAGUGUUUAGUUGAAGUUUUUGUUCAUGGAAGAUGCAGAGAAAGUCUUUGAGGAAUUGCCAGUGAGAGUUAAUGAAUGAUUGAGGCUUUUAUCGUGGGAUGCUUUGGUGCUGGAAUUCAGGCUGAUUUUGCCCACGGGACAGAUGAUUCGUAGAAUCACAGUCUACCCCUGAAACCAGAAUUACAUAUACUUUUAAAAGAACUCUCAAGAAGCAAACUGUAAAAAUCCUAUUUUCACAAACAAACGCAAGAAAAAAAGUUAAAACAAAAAGCUUUCAUUAAUCUCAAAGAAACAAGAAGACCCUUUUCCCGAUAAAUGAAAAUAAAGGUGAAUUUGCUAUCAAAACCCAGAAAAAAAAAAUCUCAUAAACAGACAGCCAAAGAUAGUGAAGAAGCAAAGAAGAAGUUCAGUUUUGAGAAAGAAAGAAAGCUUACAGCAGCAGAUUGAAGCAGAAGCUGACAUUAAGCUGACAUUUUUUAGAGUGACAUCAGUUUCAUUAACAAAGAGGAAGAAAACAGGCUUUGUUUUGUAAUUUUUUUGUUGUCAAUUCUCGCUCUUUCAACAGAAACAGAGAUUCAAUGUAGAAAAAGUUGCAAAAACCUUCGUAAUAUUAAUCUGUAAAAGGCAAUAAAAGCAGUUUUAUAGAUAAACACAGGGAAUCAAUACUUUAAAAAAAUAAUUGGAGUGAUAAUUUGGGAUAGAGAAUUUUAUUUGAGAAGCAAAGUGUUUGUUUUUUUUUUUAUCACAUGAAUGUUUUAUUUUUUUAUUAAUUUUGUUGGGUUGUUCCGUUCAUGUGUAAAUAAAAAGUACUCACAUAUAUGCUUGUAGAGCUUACAUCCGUAGUUUCACAAUUUUUCAAAAAAAUUGUUGAAGAGGCAAAAAUUAAAAAGAGAAAAAGAAGGCUAAAAUAGAAGCUUUUGGAGUGUCUUGAAGGUUAAGGCUCCAAAUUCACGAUUUUGUUAAAAAAAAAAAAGAGAGAGACUUAAAAAAAAAAAAAAGAAAAGAAAAAGGGGAAGAGAAUGAAAAAGUUGUUAUAAACAUAAAGUAACUAAAAGUAAACGAUUCUGGAGUGUUCAUAGAUGUUCAUAGAUAAAAUUGAAUUAUAUUCAUAUUUGAUAUUAAUAAUUCAUAUAUUUAUUCAGAUUUAAUUUGAUUUAAAAUUUUAGGUUUUAAAUUUUUUUAAAAUUUAAUUUAAAUUAAAAAAUAAAUCUUAAAUAGACCCAUUAAACUUAAAUUAUAUAAUAAAAAAUUAAAAAAUAUUAUUAAAUUAAUGUUAAUAGGAUUAUAUUUAAUUCAUAUAUAUAUAAAAAUUAAAAAUAAAAAUUUUAUAAAAAUUAAAAAUUAAGUUUUAUAACAUAUAUAUAUUAUUUUUAUUUUUUAUAUAUGUAAAUUAAUUUUUAUAUAUUUGAAUUAAUUUAUAUAUAUUUCACAUAUAUAUAAAAAUAAAAAUUUUAUAUAUUUGUGAAUUCGAGUCAAUUAAAUCAAACUCGAGUUUUUAAUUUUUUGUUUAAGAAUCGAUUAAAAAUUUAAAUAAAUUUAAAAAUUGUAUCUAAACUCGUUUAAUAAAUUUUAAUUUUUUGUUCAAACUUUCUUAAAAUUUAGAUAGACAGGUAGGUAGGUUUGGGAAGGUAAUCCAACCUUUAAACAGGUUUACUUAUAUUUUAUCACUUUUACAAUUUUGAAUGUUUAAGAAAAGAGACAAAGGGGAAAUGAAGAGGAGAAAGAGAAACAAAUAGAGAAACUUCAUGAUUAUGAAAAAAUGAAAAUGGGAUAAGAAGAGAAAGAAAGUGAUUGGAGGAUGGGUAUAAAACAACCUUACAUAAAAGUGUAAGAAAAAGAUAAGUGUUGAUCGUUCGUCAAUUUGCUCUAAGAGAGAGAUAGGGGUGUUGAUCUUGUGUAUUUUUAUAAAAUAUUUAAUGUUGCCUUGAUAUUAUUCCUUUUGAUUUUUCUCAAAAUUUAUAAGAGUUUUUUGCAUGAACUUUUUAUCUUCAUCAGAUUAAGGUAUUCUAAUCACUUGCUUUAAAUUUUGGAUUAUUAUAUUAUUUUAAUAUUUAUUAUAUUUAUAUACCUUUUUGAUACACGAACAAUGGUUUUGAUUUUGUUUCCUUUUUAUAAUUAACGCUAUUUAUUUUAUUUUUAUUUUGUAUCCUUACAUCAUUUUAUUUAUUUAGUUGUUUAUAAUUAAUGCUAUUUACACGUUUCAUUCUAUUUUAGAUUUUUUAUUAAGGAAUUGCAUACAAAAUUUCCUCUUAUUCUUUUGGUUUUUUUUUUUUUUUUUGCAUGCAUUUAGGUUUGGUUUGUUGCAUAUAGAUUGAACCCAUCAAUAUUUUUUUUCCACAAAAUUUCCCCAUUGGCGAAAUGUUCAUAUUUUCAAACAAAAAAGAUUUGUUUUUGUUUAGUUAUUUUUUUUAUUAUGAAGGGUUUGUAUAUGAUAGUAGACAGUGCAGGAAAGUUGGUGAUGAAUAGAGUGGUGACGAGAGAGAACUUUAACAUUUUAAAAGUGUGAGAAAAGAAAUUAGAGGUGUAUAAAAAGAACCCUAGAGUGGUGUUGAUUGUGCUUUACUCACAUGGUAAUGCAAUUGAUUUGGGUUAAAUGUAUGAUUUUUUUUGUUUUAGUGAAUUAGUUUACAUCUUUGAUUAUUGGGGUAAGUUGAAAAACUUAAUCUAAGACAUUUUAUUUGAAUGAUCAUGUAUUUAUUUAUUUUAUUUAUUUUAUGUGCAUUUUGUAAGUAUGAUUAUUCUAGAUAUGGGUAGUCAAUUGAAAAGGUAUGCAAACAUAUUGGUUUUUCUUUUUUUUUUUUUGGUUAUGUUAAUUAUUUGUUUGGUUGGUAAGAAAGAAUGUUAUUUAAGGAAGAAGUUUUCAAACAUUGGAUCUUUCAUUUUGUGAUUUAGUGAUUGAGAAAGUUAGGGAGUGAUGAGGAGAGGACCUAUGCCUUCAAUUUUUAUUUAGUCAUCACUUUGCUUUUAUGUUUGUUAACUGAUAUUUUAGUUGUCAAAAUUUUGAAAUAUUUGAUGAAUCAAGAAUUUAAUACAUUUUAGUUUUUUUCCUCUUCUGGUAUAAAUGAUUACAUUGUUUACUACGAUUAUUUUUAAGACUAAAAAAUUUUUAAUGCAAAUCUAAUUUAUUAUUUUAAUUUUAGGUUACUUAUCUUUUAGCCCAUGGUGUCUAUGAAAAAGGGAUCAAUAAGAUAUGUAAGAUAACACAUGGUAAUAGGGUGAAGUUAUUUUCCAUACCUUGGUUGAUUUCUACUUUUGUUGUUGCAAAUAUUAUUAUGUUUAUCAUCAUCAUGUGUGUGAAUAAUUAUCCCAAGAAUUUUGUUUCUCACAUUACUGAUUUCUUAAGUAGGUCUUCCUUUUAGCCUUUUAAGGAGAAUUCUCUUGUGGGUUCUUUUUCUGCCGCUAAGCCAUUUAUUGUUUUGUUGGUUUGUUUUUCUUUGUUUCAAUUGAAUUUUUUCUUAUUUUUUUAAAUUUUAUCUACUUUUUAGUUCAUGGUUAUUGGGUCUAGGAUGUUUAAAAUGAGGGCUCUAGAUGUAAAGAAAGUGGUUGAUGGACACUAAAGAUAUCACCUUAUUACUUGCAAUUGGUUACAUAGAGGAAUUUUUAUUUGUUGGCAAACAUUUUGAGUCUUUUAAUAAUUAGAAUCUAUAGUUCAUGCUUACCUUGGAAUUGAUGCAUAGGGUCUGCAAUUUGUAAAUUGUUUGAACUUCCAUUUUUUAUUGUUGCUUUUGUAAAAUUAUUUAAUUCAUGCUUGCCUUGGAAUUGAUGCAUAAGGGCUACAAUUUGUAAAUCAUUUGAACUUCCAUUUUAUAUUGUUGCUUUUGUAAAAUUGUUUAUGUUUCAUAUCUAUUUUCUUAGCUCAAUUUAUGCAUGUCUAUGGAAUCAACAAAGGCAUGUUGGUAAGAUAAGCCUUGUUUUUUUUUUACUAAUUUUAACUUUUUUUACUAAUUUUUUUUCUUAAGAAAACUAUUUUUUAAUUUUUCUUACAAGUUGGUUUGACAAGUUUGAGGUUUACUAUAAUAGAUGUUUGCCAUAUGAAUCUCUACAAAACGUUAUGCAUUCCACAUGGAAGUGGUGGACUUGGCAUGGCACUUAUUGGAGUCAAGAAGCAUUUGACACCAUUUCUGCCUCCACAUCUUGUGGUAUAUAUAUGCUUGUGUAUGUAUAAAUUUUUGUCUUUUCAUGUUCAUAUUAUGAAUCUUUAGGCAUCCCUGUUAAAAGAAUUGCAUUCUAAAAGUUGGUUUAGACUAGACUUCAUUUUUAUAUCUUAUCUUUAAAAUUUACUGAUUAACAAUAUUUUUAUCAUAACUCUAUCGACAUAUAUGUGGUUGAAAUUUUGAAUAUAUCAUUACACAUGUUGUUAGCUAUGACUUUUAGUCUUAUCAUUUACCACGAGUGUUACAUUGCUAAAGGUAUUUAGUGAUGGAUUCUUCUGCCACAAGAUAUUUUUUUCCAAUGUUGAUUUUGUUAUAAUCAUAUUGUAGGUACCUACUAAAGCUUCAAGGAUAACUAUCUUGAAUACAAAUUACAUGGUAAAACGCUUAGAGGUAAUUGCCUUUUCUUUGAAAAUUUAUGUUUAUAACAUGUGGAAAUCAAAAUACGUUUUGAUUUUCAUGAAAAAGUAUGACCUGUCUUUUACCAUCUAUUAUCAUUUUAGGUUUCUUUUGUUUUGUAAAAAAUGAUUUUUGAAAAAUAAUUUUUAAAAAAUGUUUAUAUUUCCUAAAUUGAAAGAGAUUUUUUAUUGUUUGGAUAAUGAAAAAUGUUUUUUAUUAUUUGGUUGUUUUUUGGAAAAUUCGUUUUUUCUUUCCAAAUAAUAUUAAUAUAAUUAUUAAAAUAUUAAAAAAAUUUAUUAUUAAAAUAUAUUGAAAUUAUUUAUUAUUAAAAUUAUUAAUAUUAAAAAAUAAUUAUAUUUAAUAAUAUUAUUAAAUAUUAUGUUAAUAUAAAAAAUACUUAAAAUAAAACUAUUUAUUAUUUUUAUAUUAUUUAUGAAUAUAUUAUAAUAUUAUUUAUUAAUAUAUUAUAUUAAUAGUAUAUUAUUUAUUUAUAUAAUAUUAUUUAUAAGUAAAAUUAUGCUAAAAAAUAUUGAUAAAUAAUUUUAUUCAUAAAUAAUUUUUUUUUGAAAAAUAUCUUUUUCUUUUCAAAUCAGUAAAAUAAUUUUUUAAAAAAUAAUUUUAUUUUUUAUUGAUUAAAAAAUUAUUUUUCGUUGACUAAUUAAAUUUUUACCAAAUAAAUACUUAAAAAUAUAAAAAUUAUUUUCUACUAAACAAAUGAAAUCUUAAAACUCUAAAAUUAGUUUUUUCUUAUUUUCUAUUUAUAUUUUUAACUUUUUUAAUAACUUAACUUUCAUCUCUCUCAUUAUGAUAAAAAAAUAUAUAAUUACAUGAUAACACAUUUAUUAAAUUCUUCUGAUACCUAUUUUGCCAUUUGGCUGUUGGCUAUACAACAAGUAACUUACUUUCAUCUCCAAUGGCGUAGCAGCAUCACAUAAUAACACAUUUAUUACACUCAACAUGACCGCACAUUUAUCCCUACUGUCCUGACCUACUGGCCACGGAGUCUUAGAAGGAACAUAAAAGGCUCAGUUUCAAACCAACCUAUCCCCCGUACCCUAUGUUAAAAAAAAAAAAAAUGAUUACACAUGCGUUCAACGGCGUAUAUAACUAAGUAAUAUAUUUAUAAUGUUGCACUUUUGCGCCCUGUUGUCCGUAAUCAAUUUUGUUGGCGGGUUCAUAGGUUUGGUGUAUAAUUGAGUUAUUAAAGUAUAACGAAAAAUUAUUGUUAUUUUUUAAUAGAAUAAAUUAUUCUUAUAAUUGGUUUCAUUGAGAAAAGAAAAGUGGUUCAAAUAUUAAAUUGAAUUAAGUUGGAGUUGAUUCACAAGAACGAUUUAACAAUAUUCAUGGGUACCAUGUUGAUGAGUCUAUUCAUGCUUCGUCCAAUGGAAAUUGGAGGAAAAAAAAAAAGAAAAAAAAAUAUAAAAGAGUGAUAAAUGAAAACAACAUAAACUGAGUAAUUGAUUCUCCCAUUAUAUAAAAGACGAGUUUAUUUUAUUAUCGGACAAGAUUUUGCAUGGGGACAAGGAUUUGAGGGGCCAGAAAGCCAUUAACAGCGCCGAGUGCAGAAGCAGCGACGGCGGACGCCUCUGCACUUCCCACCUGAGAAACCUUCAUUCUUACACACCAUCCCACAGUUGUGAUGGCUCAGACAUGGUCCCUUAAAACGAUGGCUCUUUGACUCGCAAACUCUUGCCUCGCUCGGCUCUGCAUUCAUCAACAAAAUAUGAUAAAAAAAAUUAUUACAAUAAAUUGAAAGUAGUGAAAAAGAAUCAGAUCAUACUAAGAUAUAACAUUCGUUGGAAUCGAAGUAACAAAGAAAGAGAUCAUUUACGAUUACCGGAAGCUGAAACAAUGAACAGCAGCAGCAGCAACAUCCCAAACAACUUCUUCAUCUCCAUGUCAGCUAUACUUCUAAAAACAACAGCAGAUGCAUAAACUAUUAGCUUAUGUAGACAAGUCUAUACUUCUAUUUCAAUUCGGCAUUGAUUGAUUAUGUAUAAACAUGCCCGAGCAAGUAAAGGACGUGGCAGCAGGUUUGCUUGACACGAAAGACAACUAGUUUCUGCUUCUGCCAGAUGCUAUGGGCACGUGUUGGAAGAAAUGGUGUACUUGUCAUCUGCUUGUAGUUGUAAAAUAAAAAGUGAUAUGUUACGAAUACCUCUUUUGUGGCCUAUUCAUCAAAUAUUUUAUAUUAUAUUUGGUACGAAGGAAAAAAAAUAGAGAAAAAGGAAAGCAGCCCUGUAAAUGUAAAGCAGAGUAGAGAUUACCUAUGAGGAUGCAGAGAAUGAAAAAUCAGCCAUUCAUGAGCACAAAUUGGUGAAAUAUGUAAAGAAAGAUCUCUUUAGAAGACUCAUUUUCCAUGCUGUUUUAAAGAUUAUAUUCCACAAGAGUUCGUUCUAACAAAUCAUCAGGCAUUAUUCCAUUCGUGAACAUUUGUUCACAUAACAGUUUGGCCUCAACCAACCUACCAACUUUGCAAUAACCACGAAUCAUAAUUGAAAAUGCAACUACAUCUGGCAAUAAAUGUCUAUCUAGAGCACAACGGAAUGCAAGUGAUGCUUCCAGCAUUAAUCCUCGUUUGCAAAAGCCAUCAAUGAGGAUGCUAUAACUGACAAUAUUUGGACAGAUUUUGUUUUCAAGCAUCUCUUCGUGAAGCUCGGUAGCAGUCCUUAUAUCCUGAGAUUUGAAGUAGCCAUCAAUUAGACAACUGUAUGUUACCACGUUGGGCUCUGGCACCUUCUCCAACAUUUUGGAGAACAUCAACAUAGCUUCGUCCAUUCUACCCUCCUUGCAGAAAGCAUCAAUCAAUAUGGUAAAAGUAAUUGAAUUGGGUCCAAACAGGGGAGAAGUCAGCUGUUUAAAAAGGCUGAAUGCCUCAUCCAAUCUUUUAAAUGAGCAAUAACCACAUAUCAUUGUGUUGUAUGUUAUAAUAUCAGGUUUUGGCCCUUUCUCAACAAGUUUACUGAACAGUUCUGACGCCCCUUGAAGAUGACAUUCCUUGAAAAGCAUACUAAGGAGAACAUUAUAUACUGCAAUAUCAGGAACCACUCCAUUCCAUUGCAUCAGCUUAAAAAACUGCAGUCCAGCAGAUUGAUUUUUAUUUUUGCAGAAUCCAUCCAUGAGGGUACAAUAUGUUAUAGCGUCUCCAGGGAAACCCCUCUUAAGCAUUUGAAAAAAAAUUAAGAGUGCUGCAUUCAAUUUUCCUUGAUUAGAAGCAUCUCUAACAAGGACAGUGUAGGUCACCAUAUCUGGUUUUAUGUUGUACAUUCCCAUUAAAGUAUACACCUUCACAGCAUUACUUAACUGUUUCAACCUACAAUAACCAUCCAUCAAGGAGUUAAAAGUAAAGAUAUUCGGUUUCAGACCCCUGCUUACACUGCUAAAGAAGAACCUAAGAGCAUCUGUCACCAUCCCUUCUUUACAAAGACCAUUUAUUAACACACUAUAAACAACAACAUCAGGUAGAUGGCCCUUUUUUAUCAUAUCAUCAAAUAAAUGAAAACCAUCUCUCAAAUUUCCCAACUUGCAAAAGCCAUCAAUGAGACUACUAUAGGUUAUGAGUGAUGGCUUGAGACCUUGUUUGAUAAUUUGACCAAAUAUGCCACAAGCUUCAAGCAUCCUUCCAUUCCCAUUCAACCCAUUUAUGAGAGUGGUGUAACUAACCACGUUAGGUGAUAAGCCUUCCUCCAACAUUCUCUUAUAAACCUGAACCACUUUUCCCAAAUCCCCUACCUUUCCAAAAGCAUCCAUAACCAAGCUGAAAACAACUACAUCCAACUUGACACCUCGAUCUAAUGCCAUGGAAAAAAGUUUCUCUCCCUCAUCCAAUCUCCCUGCCUUGAAAUAACCAUCAAUAAGAAUAGAAUACAUGAUUAAAUCUGGCAAUACAUUCCUCUCCGUCAUAACAUUGUAAACCUCAAUUGCUUUAUCUAAUUUUCCAUCUUUUGAAUACAUUUUAAUCAAUGUGCUAAACGUCACCACAUUUGGCAAUGGACCAAGAGUAAGAAUCAUAUCAAACAACUUUGAAGCAACUCUUAUUUCAUUAUUUACAGAAAGACACUUUAAAAUCUUGUUACAAGAAACAAUGUCAACCCCUAAACCUCUCUCAGUCACCUCUUUAUGAAAAUUCAACGCCUUUUCAACCUCCCCAUUCUUCAAGAACCCUUCCAUCACAAUCCCAUAAACACAUAAGCUCGGUGUUCUAAACAAUCUGCAUAAUUUACCAUAGUUAUCAAAAAUUAUAUCAACACGAUUCGCAUUAACUAUAGAAUCCAACAUCCUAUAAACCAAAUUAUGCGAGAUAAAAACGCCCCAUUCAGACAUUUUCACUAACACAUAACAACUCAUAUCCAACAUCCCUUUGUUACAGUAACUUUCCAACAAAAACCCAAAAACAUAAUUCGGGUUCGAAUCAAAAUCCUUAAACCCUUCAUUAAAAGCAUCAAAAACAUCAAUAUUUGUACCAAAAUGGGCGAUCAUAUCAUCGAACACCUGAGCUGCGGCAGCCAACAUUCGAUGGCGGAGCAAGAGGUGAAUGAGUGCACAGUAGGAGGGCACAUUGUGAGGUGACUUUAAGAAACUUUGGGUCCAUUGGAAAAAGUUAAGGGCAGAAUUGGGUUUGGCUUGGAGGGCUAAAAGUAUGGGUUUAAUGUGAGAUGGUUGGAGUUUUGAAAGUAAAGGUGGGUUUAAGACAAUCUGUUGUUUUUGGUGAAGAAAAUAUUGAGAAAUUUGGUCUAUUAGGGUUUUAGCUGAAGAUGAAGAAAAGGGUUUCUUUAGAAGCUUUGAAGACAACAUUUGGGGAGUUCCAUAUCGUUUUUUGGGGGAAAGAAUAUGGUUUUAGCUUUGCCGUUUCUCUUACUGACUAUGGUACUUCGGGUUGCUCUGCUUUCAGUUGAAGCCACAUUGCUUUAAAAGGGUAGACUUGGAAUUUCAUCCUUCCUAAAGGUAUAAUAACCAAAAAAUAUAUAUAAAAUUACUAUUCUUUUCAAUUUCUUAAGUCAAUCUUUUUACUUCGUUAUUGUAAUAAAAAAAUUUCUUGAAAUUAUUUUCAGAAAUAUAAAUUUUUAUAUGAAUACUAAGCAAGUUGUUCAAUUUUAGACUUCAGUGCUUUGAACAACGUUUUAAUUAGAAAAUAAAACAAAAUUUUAUAUUUAAUAUAUUACCAUAAUAUAAAUUUAUAUAUUACAUCAAUUAAUCAUAUAAUAUCACUUCAUUAAUUAAAAAAAUAUAAAAUUUUACGAACUUUUAAUAAGGUGACGGAUGAACUUGGACUUUGAUGACUUUUUUGGAAAUCCAUAAAAUUAAGUUUUUAUGUAUUUAUUUUUAAGAGUUUAUAAAAUUUAUAUUAUAUCAUUGAUGAGAUAGUAUAAUAUGGUUAACUAAUAAUAUAUUAAAUAUAAAUUCAUCAAAUAAAUAUAAGAAUUAAUUAACAUCCAAUCUAAAGCUAAUCCAUUAGUAUCAUCUGACAAUGGUGUCAUAAAAAAGAGCUAGAAGCAUGAUAUUUUGUGGAAAAAAGAAAACAAGAAAUGGCAUAGAAGCAGUAUUUUCUAUAAUGAGGUCCAUAGUCUUGUUGUCCUUUCUGAGUUUAAGCUGCAGUCAUCAAUUGGGAUAAGCUGUAAAGAAGCAACAACAUGAAUAAUCAAGGAUUUCAAAUUAAGAUACAAAAUUUACUUCGUGUUAUGUUGCCAAAAUGAAAUCCCAUUUGUUAAGACCUGAAUCACCUGAUCUGCUGAGGAACAAGUGUUUCCAACUGACUCUUCCGAGGAUCAACAAGGGGAAGUUAAAGAUUAAAUGCAAAUGGAUUAACAAAAGCAACUAGUUCCUUUAAAAAAUCUAUUUGUACCAUUUGUUCUUUGACAUAAAAACAAGGAAAUAAUCUAGAGGCAAUCUAAUUUUCAUAGUGAACAAUUGUUUUUAGGCAACAAUAAAACCAGUUCAUAUAAGCUGUAGAAAAUGGCCAGGCUUGUGGCCUGUUUGUAGACAACUAGAUUUUUAAUUUUAGGGAUCAGUAUUCAAUUGCGAUAGCCUGAAAUAUAUAUAAAAAAAAGCUGUUGGAAAUUAAAAGCUAUAAAACCACUUGUUUCAGUACUAGUCUCUUAGACCCAACAAACAAUCAUACCAGGCAAUUUUUUUUUUAAGAAUUACAAACCAAAAGAGGUGGGGAAACAGGACCAAACUGUAUCUUGAGACAAGUAUGUCAGUUGAAUUGAAGUUGACAUGCCUUGGAGCCCCUUGGGAACAUUGAUAAUUUCCUGAGCAUAUCAAACUUUGAAUCCAUAGGCAUAUCACUAAUUCCAUUAGUACAAAUAUCCAUCAUCUUCAGAACUCCAGCAUUGUUCAAAAUGUAUUUUACCAUGCUCAGCUGAUAUCUUAGACCUUCAAACCCUCUAAAAUACACCAUUGUUAGGGAUGACGGCAAACAUUUAGGAACAUACUUUGGAGGUGUCCAGCGGCACUCAAGUCCAAGUCCACGGCAAUUAGCAUUCUGGUGACAAGAGAACAACCAAAGCACAAUUCAUUAGACCAAUAAUUAGAAGAAAUAACGACCACUACUUUUAUCAUUGAUUUCUCAGCUAAAUUUGACUCACCUUGGCAAGAACAAGAACUUUCAAAUUAUGAGAGCUUUCAAGGAAACGUGACAGCACACUCCAUCCACCAUAACCAACAUUUAGCUCCAAUCGAACCAGAUUAAGAAACAAAGGAUAAGUUUUGAAGUUGUGCUGUGUUUGUGACAGGAGACAAUUGCAUAUAUAUCAGCAAAAAAAGAAUUGAGCAUUGGCAAUGAUCCCAACCAUAUAAAUUGUCAGAACAUCCUACUCACCAUUAUUGUAUACCAAUCCCAAUUGAAGGAAAGAAACUUAGCAUUGCAGAGAGCUUUGACAAGUGGAAUGUGGUGAUUUCCAAGUAAUGAAACUGUUACAUUUGCUUCAUCUAAGCUAGAGACAUCCUCAACAUCAUAUUCCAGUUGGGGCAGGUUGGCUUGGAGAUUUAGGUACUGAAGAAUUGGGGCAUUUAUCUUCAGUUUGCAUGAAACCUGUCCGGUGAAAAAACUAAUGAACAAACUCUUCAAUGUAGGAAUGGAAAUGUUGAAAUUCAGUGCAUUAUCACAAUCCAAAUUUUUAAGAAGCAAUUCCUGGAGAACCGGACAACCACAGAAAAGCCUAGAAACAGAUUCAUCACGUCUGCACUUGAUCCAGACAAGAUGCAAAACCUUGAGACAUGGCAAGGAAACUGUUCCAGGUACAUCAAGCUCAAUCCCAUGAUUCAGUUUCAAAACAUGUAAUGUUUUUGCUGUGAAAAGGGCACAUGGUAACUUCAAGAGAGGGAAAUUUUCCAUUCCCUGGAUGUUUAUGUCUAAUUCUUUCACAUCUCUCGCAACUGCUGCCCAAAAACAAGUUUUAACAUACCAAGGAUGGUAAACUGCAUUGAAUUUGAGACAAAACUUGUCUAAAGAAGCCACUUUGUUAAAGAUUAAAACUUUAGUAAAAAAUUGCAUGAAAUCAAUUCUAAGUCUUUCAUCAGUUUUGCAAAAAAGUGAGUCCUCAAGAUCAAGGAUUGGAACUGAAGUCCAAACCCAAAGCCAUCUUUUUGAUAGAACGGAAGUGGCCACUGCUUCUUUUGUUGGAAGAAAUGAUAAUAUGUGUUGAAUUAGAACAUCAGGCAAUUGACUGAUUCUAUCAAGGCAAGUUUCUUCAUCAGAAAAUUUUGGACGCUUUGGGCUCACAUUGCUUUCUUGAUACGCAAGGUUUGCCAUUGAUGGUGAAUGUGGAAAAUGAGUGGAGAGACAUAAAUUUAUAAAUAGAGGGAAGGGGAUGGUUCCAGACUACUUCUAGUACUGUACAAACCAUAUUCUCAUGCACUUGGCAUGGAGAAUUUCUUAAGUUAGUCUUGUAUAACAAAUUAAUUAAAAUGCUGACACUAUUUUGCAUGUCAGUGUGAAAGUAAAAUUGCACCAAUUGAAAUAAUAAUUAUACAUAAUUAAAUUAACAAAAAAGUUGUUUGAUUUCAUCAAUACGAGUUAGUUCAGUUGACAAGAGAAGUUUUUUUUUUUUUUUUUCUUCUCAAUGAGAGAUGUGCCCCAAAGAAUAAAAUCUUGAAUGUACUAAAUUAAAGGAGUGUGUCUUCAAAAAUUAUUAAAAAAAUUCAUAAUUUUAAUCAUCGGGGGCUUUUGAAUUCCAUUAAAACAUAAGAGUUAGGCAAUUAGCACACGGAACUAUUAAACUUUUCUUGAUAAAAAGUUGCUUUGCAGUCCAAAGCUAGAAUAAAUAAAUCAGACAAAUAUGGUUUCCUUGCAAAUAUUCUUGUCCUUUUUGUUUUUUAUCCUUUGGCACAAAAAUGAUACUUCAUAAACAUUUUAUAAACUUAAUUAUCCAUGGAUUGGCAAAGAAAUGAUUCUUCAAGAUGGAGAACUAGGUGUUUUAGUUUCAGGGGUAAUUUCGUCCUGCUCUGACUCAUCGUCCACUUCCAUUGUUGCCUGUCGCCUGCUGGUGGUCUAAACAUCUUUUCUCCUCUGUCUCUCCAUUAUUUACUUCUUCAAUUGUUAAAGUCUUUCUUGCUUGCUUAGAAACGAAGCAAAAGGAAUGCACUGACAUUUGCUAGACCAUCUUAAAACAAUUACUAUAUCUAAAAAUUGUGACACUUUGACAAUAUAAAGGCUAUAGCAAUGUAUCUAUAAAAAAUGCAAAAGUUUAUUAAAAAUUUGCUUCUCAUGGAAAAUACUUCGCCGGUAAUUAAAAUUUUGAAUACAGUAAAUCGAUACAAGGAGUACACUUGAAAAAUAUAAAAAUUUGUGUUGAAACAAAAUAAAUGAUCAAGAAUCUAAAUUUCAAGCUUAACAUGAAUUUUUUUUAACUAUGUACAAAUUAGGUAGACUCAAUACAUUUAUGACAAGAUUUAUCCCAAGAAUGAAGACCUAAAGACAAAAGGGGGGAAAAAUAGCUGUACUUGAGACUUACAGUAUUGCAACUUGACAUGUCUUGGAGCCCCAUUGGAACUCUGAUAAUUUGUUCAGAACAAAUGACUUUGAAUCAGGAGACAUAUUAAGGGUACAAAUUUGCAUAGUCUUCAAGACUUUAGCAUUCUUUAAAAGAUAUUCUAUCACUUGCAUUUCACUUCCUAAACCUUGAAACACUUUAAAAGAAACUGCUGUUAGAUGUGAUGAUACACAUGUAGGAACAUGCUCCGGUUGUGUCCAUCGACUGUCGAUUGUUGAGUUAUUCUGAGAAAUCCACAAAACAAACAACACAAAUUGAAGCUACAAUUUAGCAAACACAACUUGAUUUUCGGAUUUUUUGCCUUGAUCGUCCAAAUUUGAAAAAAAAAAAAAAAAACCAGAUAAUUUACCCGAAUUUUAUUAUUUACUACUAUUAACUCACCUCAACAAGAAGAAUUUCUAGAUUAUCAGAGAGUGUAAGCAAGUGUGAUAAUGCAUCCCAGCCAGGCAAACCAAUUAAUAUCUCCAAUUGGACCAAAUUAUGAAACAUAGGAUAAGCAUAGCCAUGGGGCACCUGUAAGAUUAAAAUAGUAUACAAAAAUAGAUUUCUUAAAUGAAUGAAAGUAGAGGUUUUGAACAUAAAAGAACCAAAAGUCAAAAUUGAAAACUGUCACAAAAAUGAAUAAAAUAGUGACAAAUUAACGCAUUCUUACCGGUUCGAAAUACCAAUAUGAAGCUAAGGAAAGAAGCUUGACAUUGUAGAGGGCUCUGAUAAGCAGCUGAUUUAGGCUAAUCACAUAAUUAAAUUUAAUUUUGGCUUGAAUUAAGCUAGAGAAAUUUCCGAUGAAAGAAACUUGAUGGUAAGAUUCUUCGAGUUCCAAGUACUCGAGAGCUGGUGUAUUUAUCUCUAGUUUGUGCUCAGCAUAUCGAAGGUUAAUGGACAAACUCUUCAAAGUUGAUGACAAAAGUUUGAAAUUAAGUGUCUUUACACGGUCAGGUGUUUUUAAAACCAGUGUCUCAAGAACAAGACAACCAGAAAAAAGCUUGUCAAAAGAUUCAUCAUUGGCGAUGUUGACAUAGAAAAGCUGCAAGGUUUUGAGACUGGGAAAACAAACUGACGACUCACCAGGAAAAUCAAUAAGAAUCCCACCACUUAGUUUCAAAAACUUGAGUUUCUCAGCCUUGAAAACCUGAGAGGACAACCUCAAAAAGUAGUCAUGUUUUGGGGUUGUUCUGAUGGAGAUAUCAAUUUCUUGGACACCUUUAUCAACAGCAGAGCAAACCCACAUGUUAAAACAUUUGGGUUCGUAAAUUUGAUGACAGUUGAGGCGAAACUUGUGCAAAGAAACAGCUUUGUUAAGCAACAAAACCCUAGUGACAAAUCGAACAAACUUGAUCCUGGUUGCUCGUCUGGUUUGGCAACGGAUUGAGUCCUGAAGAUGAAGUACUUGAAGUUUAGUCCAAAAAGGAUACCAUCUUUUGGAGAGAACUGAAGUAGCAACGGCAUCUUUGGUUGGCAGAAAAGAUAGUAUGUGCUCUAUUAACUCAUCUGGCAAUUGGCUGAUUCUGUCGGAUGAUGAUCGAUGGUGUUUCCAGGUUUGGUCUACUGAGAUUUUAGCCAUCUUCAUCAUAAAUCAAACUGCCUAAACCAAGGAUUUUUUGGUUUGGCAGAGUCUUCAUGAAAGGGAAAGUGAAAAGCUAAGCAUCAAUUGAGGAGGAGAGCGACUUAUACUCGUUAACUUUGUUCGAAUUAUUAUUAUUAUUAUAUUACCUUUUUAAACCGUCGUUUUCAUGGACGAUCGAAUAAAUUUAAGAGAUAAAGAUUAAAUUUCCUUUUAAAUUUAUUAAAAUUAAAAAUUAAAAAAAAUAUUGUAUAUAUUGUAUAUAGCGAUCCUUUCUCACUUAAUAAAAUAAUAAAAAAGGAGACUUGAUGUAGCGUAAUUAAAAAAUAAUAAAUUAUUUUUUUAUGCUUAGAUUGCCGAUUAUACGUUGAUUACCGAAAAUAAUAAUUUUUAAAUUUUAUAAACUAAUCGUACGAUUGCACAGUUGCUGACAUAAGGGUGAAGUAUUCAUCUUGUAACAUAAGGGUAUAAUUAGGACACUAUGGCAUAUUCGUCAAGCAAUUCAAAAUUAUUCAAAAUUACCUCAAUGCUUAAAAUACCAAAAGAGUCCUUUUUUCUUUGUUUUUUUUUUUUUUUUUUCCCACAUGGACACUUACAAGGCCAUAGAGGUGAGUUUGAGAUGAUAAAUUUAUCAAAUUAUUUUAAUGACAAUUAUCAAAAUUGAUGAAUUUAAAAUAUUUAAAAAAAUUGUUGACAAAAAAAUAAUUAAAUUUUAAAAAAAUUGUGAAUAAAAAUGAGAAGUUACUGAAAAAAUUCAUAGAUUUGUUGUCAAUUUACGCGUAGCUAUGGUAAGUUGAUUCUAAUGGAAAGUUGUUAGAAACAGCUUUUUUUCAGAGAGUUUUCAUAAACUUUCCUUUUAAAAGCUCAUAGAGUUACUUGGUCAAAAGAAAACAGUUCAUGGAUAGUUCAUAAAAAACGAAAAAGGCCAAAUUCGCGGGCCCCGUCCAAUUCCAAGGCUUGAAAGUCGAAUCGAUGAAGAAACGGUGUCGUUUGAUACACACACUUUUUACCAGAACAAAACCCGUCAAUCAUCUGCAAGGCUACUUUGAAAGCUUCAAUUCUUAUUCGUCAUCCAUUUUCUCUCAUUUUUUAUGAACACAGCUCGCUUACAACUCAUUUAAAGAGUUUAUAUAUGCUUAUUCGUAUAAAUCAUUUCAUGCAUAUUCCGAAAAUUAAGAUACAAAUCUAUAUAUAUGAAAUUUUUUGGUAAAAAAAAAAGAAUUGCAAAUGAUGAAAUUCAAUAUUCAAAUCUAUUAGAUAUUACUUUUUAAGAAUAAUCUCGUGAACUAAUAUAUAAUUUUAAUUAUAUAAUAAUUUAAAAAGAAAACCAAUUUGUUUUCUUUUUGAUAAAAAUAGUUCAACAUUUUAGCAUCCAACAUGCAAUGGCAAAAGCAUAAAAUCUCAUCCAUUAACAUAGAAGAGCUAUUAGGUAUAAAGAUCAAUUUAGCACAACAUACUACUUUACUUAAGAUGGAUCACAAAACAUGCUAUUCCUAAGCAAAAAUGGGAGCGAGGGUGAUCACAAGCUAAUUAAAAAACUGUUAACCCAAUAAAAUAGAUACGAUUAUAUUCAACCUAGUAAGAAUAGAAGAAAAUUCCUUGCUCUGGUAGGCAGUCAAUAUAAAGCUUAGAGCUGAUCCAUCUAUAAGCAUCUUACACGGCUAAUUUCGAAUGCAUCAACUCUGAGCAGCUGUUAGCCCCGUAUAGGCUAUCCCUUCUUACAUGGCAACAUCUGGAUCCAACCUUCUUUGUAUGGCAGCUGCAGCCUGUAAAGACAGAACAGCAAUUCUACAUCAAUCAUUUGUGAUGAAAUAAAUGAAGAUUUGCGCAGAUGAGAUAAAACCAAUUGCGUAUCCUCACCUCGAAGUUGCCAAUUUUGUACUGGUAAGCCAUCUCUUCUCGUAGUUGAGCUUGUUCUUUCAUUGCUUGCGCCUGCAAAAUCAGAUAAAAGAUGGAGGUGAGAAAAUCUAACUUGCCGUGGGUUUAACGGAUUACCAGCAGAAGAGCAACUAAGCUUAAAAGGCUAAGAAAGAUCUAACCAUUCCACUCUGCAUAGCACGUUUCAAAGAUUCAACCUGUUCUUCCUUCUGCUUUUCACGGGCUAUUAGCAAUUCUUGCCUGAAAAUGCAGAAUCAAAAUAUGAGCCAACCCAAAAACAUAAUGCAUGUAAUAUUAACAAGCUUAUCAUUGUCAAGAAGUUCAAAUUUCACAUUCCAAUUUUCAAAUCAAUGAACUGAAGAGAACAGGCACUCACUAUUAGUUUUUCCUCCAAGGAGGCAGACACAAAACUUGAAGCACAAUACAUUCAUAGCAAUAUAAGACCAAUAAACCAGAUAUUACAAGCAGUUUUAGAUAGCAAUUGUUAUGCAAAAUAAACCAAAUCGGCCAAAUUAAAGUUGAGAUUUACCAAAGCUUCUCCUUGAAUAUGGUCAAUGACAUCCUCAUCAUCUUAUUGGACAUCUCAGAUAGAAACUUAAGUUUUGAAUAUGCAUGUCAUACAAAUAGAGUUUGACAGUCUCUGUCCUAGGAUUAUUAAGGGAUGUGUAAAUAAACAGCCUUAUAAAAUUGCAGUUGCAAGAUCCGUAAGUUGAUAAGAACCAUAUAAUAACAAAAUCGCAUUUAAGAAACUGACCCAAUUACAGAUUGAAGAAGUUUAAUUUAAUGAUGAAUCUAAUAACAGAGCUAAAAGAUGCAGCAACUGGCAGUUUUUAAGCCAUUAUACCAAUCAAUUGCAAAUCUGAUUGCUAGAAUAGAGAUUAAGACAAAUAUGAAAGCAUGAAUGGUCAAAUAUAAGUCCAAUCAAUAAAGCUACAUUCAAGAAAACUAGGAUACCAGCUACUUUCAAUUUCAAUACAGCAUAAAUGAUGUAGUGUGAAUUAAAACGUACCGGCGCUGUUCUUCAUCAUUGAAUACAGUUCGUUCUGUAUCAAGAACCUUUUUAACACCCUUUUUCAUAUCCUUCUCCAUUUUACGCUUAUAAUAAGCAUCAAGGUUAUAAUAUCUGUAACCACCAAUAAUCAAGCUAUUAUUAUGUCAGUAGUAACACAGCAUAUAUAUAUAUAUAUAUAUAUAUAUAUAUAUCAAUUCAUGAUUCUUUUAAUCUGGGACUGCAAUAAAUCUCCUAUAAAGAAAAGAUGAAGCACACUCAAAGUUUGGAAGGGGAAAAGGUCUAUCGGCAUCAUUGACAGGAAUACAACCAAAAGACAUUAGAUCAGCAAGCACAAAUUCCUUAAAUAAUGAAAUGGCUUACUUUAAAAUUGUUGUACUGGGCAUAAGAAUUUAUUAACACAUAUUCUUGUUAAACAAGACUCCAUAUUGUUAACAAUAGACAGUCUUACUUUUUGGAAGGAAAGGUGGCCGUGUUGUGAUCUUCCAUAAAUCUGCAAAAGGAAUACAAAUUUUAGAUUUGCAAAUUUCAUUUAAACACGACACAGUUAUGUUUGCCUACAUAAUUCUUAGAAAACCAUGAGAAGAGAACGAUACAACAAUUCACAUACUCUUUAAACAACUGCUUCUCUUCCCAGUUGGGCAAACUUUCCAAGUUUAUCUGUGAAGAGAGAUCAGAAAUAUAGUUAUAAACAAACUGCAAACCAUUGAUGCAAGGAGAACUGAUAGAUAAAGAACAAACAUAUUUCACCCACUACCAUUUGAACGAAUACAUUCACUGUUAAUAAACAAUGCGAAACUAGUUCAGUAAAUGGAAAACCCAUUUUAGCAUCGUGGUUAAAAAAAAAAAAAGAAACCCAAUUAUCAUAAAAUAAAAUAAAAAUAAAAAUAUUCACCAAAUUCAAAAAAUGAAUGAAUCUUUAAAAUUCUAGGGAUUAAUAACAAAAAUGAUGUAACUAAAAUACCUGUUUCACUUCUGCUAACCACGCUGUGAACUCAGGUCGCUUAUUCCUACAUAAUACAGGAACAGUAAUUACUACAAGAAAUAGCAAUAAAGGUUCCAAAUUCCACAUUAAUGAAACAAUUUUCAAUCUCAACCAUAAUAGAACCUUGGAAUCAGCAUUUUUUUUAACAUAAAGAAACAACCUUGGCAACUGAAAUAUGACAUUCUACGAGGAACAUGUCAAGCAUUGCAAUAAAACAAUUUCAUAAUCAAAAAUAAUCUACAAUUUUCUUCCCAUUUUCACAUAUGUAAAUUUGUCUCAUUUUCAACAAUUAAUACAACAAUAGAAUCAGCAGUUUUUAACAUAAAAAAAAAUCAUUGGCAACUGAAACAUGACAUUGUACAAGGAACAAAUCCAGGAUUGCAAUAAAAGGCAUUUCCUACUCAAGAAUUAAGCAAAAAUUUCCCCUCCCACUUUCUCAUUUGUUUCAUUUCCAACAAUUUUCCAAAAAUUAAAAAGUAAAACAGAGUUUGAAAUAAAAGAAAUUUACCACAUAUCAGUUUCUCUGAUAACUCCAUAUUUACCCCAAGAAUUAGUAACAGCACCUUUCUUUCCUCUUUCCAAUUUCUCCUUCUUUUUCUUUUCUUUCCUUUCUUUCUCUUUUCUCUUCUUUCUUUUCCUCUCUUCGUCUCUCUCCUUUUCCUUCCUUCUCCUCUUCUUUUCCUUCUCUUUCCUCCUCCUUUUCCUCUCCCUUUCCUCCCUCUCUCUCCUCUUCCUCUUCCUCCUCCUCCUCUCCUCCUCCGAACUCGAAUACUCCGAUUCCGAAUCCGAAUAGUCAGACUCGGACUCAGAUUCAGAAUCCGAAUGCGAAUCAUCUUCUUCACUGCUAUGUCGUUUUCUUGAUUUGCUUGGUCUUUUCCCUUUGUCGCUUUUGCCGUGGCUUUUAUGCUUUGAAUCUUCGGGUUCGGAUUCAGAAUUGGAUUUCGAUUUCGAUUUCGGGUUAGAUGGGGUUUCCAUUUCUUCGUCGGAGUUUUCUAGGGGAGAAUCGUUUCGAUCUUUGCCCAUGUUUUCGGGUUUUUGGAGGUUUUGAGGUUGAGAGGAUGAAAAAGCCAGGGCUUUAGUAGUUUUGAGGUCGAAGCGGUGGGAAAGGUAAAUGGGGUGUGUUUGGUUGCAGGGAAAAGAAAAUGAUUUCGAGGCCUAGAAAAUGGGAAUGAGUUUGGGUUGGGCUGUAACUAAUGGAACCCACUUUUCAAUAAGGCAAGGUUUUUCAUAUAUAUUUUUUUUAAAGACAUGUUUCAAUUGUGGAUUAUUAUUUGAGUAAAUUUUACAAUUAAUCACUGAAUUUUAAUUUGUUUUAAUAAAGUCAUUAAAAUUUGUUAAAUAUAUUUAAUUUGAUUAUUUUAACAAAUUUCAUUCAUAUUAUUGAUAAAAAUUAUUACCGUCUAUGUAAACUGUCACAUUAUUGUAAUUCAUGAAACCUAAAUUUUUUUUGUCUCUCCUUCUUCGUAUAACUUCCCUCUCUAAUUCUGCAGCCUUCAACGUCAGCUUUCACCUAAAGUUCACAUAAUUUAAAAGCAUGUUCCCAUGGAAAUAAAGAAACGAACAUUGACGACUUUGAAGAAGACAUGUGGAUGUGAAUUCUAAACCGUUACUCUUUUUUUUUUUUUAUGAAAAAAAUAAAAAAAAAUCCAAAUAUAUUAACAAUGACGAAGUAUGAAAUGAUCGUUCUAAAACUUUCAACAUAGCAAGUUCAAGUUACAGAUCAUUAUUUGGUCAGAUUGGCAGCUAAAUAAUUCUGUACCGUCCACCAUCGAUACUUCAAGUAGUUAUAAUUAAAUCUCUAUCAGUGACUAAGUGUGGCUUGAUGUGCCAGUAUUAUGUGUCCUGACAUUGAAAACCGUUUAGGAGUUUUGCCCUCGAAGGCUAAAGUUCUUCAUGGUUCCCUCAUCUUCAUCUAUUUUAUCGUCCUUCAUGCUCUCCAAGAGCCCCUCCAGUUCUUUGCCGUUUCUGAUAUACGCCUUCAAGAGAGCAUGAUACAUAUCUCUAUUUGCUGGAACCUUAGAUCUCAAUAAUUUCCCAAAAACUUCUGCUCUUCAACUUCUCCAUUCUCACCUAGCCAACUCAAUGUGCUAGAUAUAUUAAAAUUGCUUUUGGCCUCCAAUCUUUUUUUUUUUUUUUUGGCCUGUAGAGCAAGAGCUUCCUUAAAGCACUUAAAAGCCUUCUCCAUAAUAUUGUUAUCCGCGUAUCGAGCUGCAACAAUAGGCCAACUGAUUGGACAUGCAUUCUUCCUUCUCUUCAUUAUAUCCUGUAGCUUUGCUUCGGCCUUUUUAAUUAAACCUUUCAGACAAUAUCCAAUAAGGAUAUUUUUGUUAGGAAAAUGGGUCCAAGCUCAUUUAAGUGGUUUUGGAUCAAGUAAAGGCCAUAAGCCUUGAUCUUUCAUUUUACACAGAGCCCUAACUACUUAAUAAAAAAGAAGUGGGAUUGUUUUAAGGGUGUGUCAAAAAUCAAGUAGAGAAAAGAAAAAAAGCCAAAAAAAGCAGAGAGAAAAAGGAGAAGGGAGAGUUGGUUGAACGGAAGUCGAUCCAUGGUUCGAUUGAGUUGGAACCUUGUCAGGAGGUUUAUGAUUUAGAGUUCUACAUUCUGAACUAUGAAGAUCAGGUUUGAAGCUCUCUAGGAAUAAAUUCAGGGUGUAUUUGUUGAGUUACUUAUUUGGUGAGAUUUCUCCAAUUGUUUCUCUAAUUGUUGAUUAGCUCUAGUUUUAGCUAGAGAAGAACUUUGUAUAUCUAUUAUUUGAUAGUGAAGAUUUUUCUGGUGGUCUAUGAUUUUUUUUCCCUCUACACUGGAGGAUUUUUCACGUAAAUCUUGGUGUGCUUUAUUUUUCUUACGUUUUUUAUUAUUGAUAGUUGUCUAUUGCUUCUGUAUUGUUGUGAUUAUUGCUUCAGGCUCAACAAGUGGUAUCAGAGCGAGGGUUAUUUUAAGACAUCAAUACAGAAGCAACCCAGGAUAGAAGUAAAUUCUAUUUGAGAUCAUGGAGGGUGAUACAAGUUCCAUGAUAAAAUUGACAGUAUCGAAUUAUUCAAUUUGGAAGCCUAUGAUGGAGGAUCAUCUAUACUGCAAAGAUUUGUAUGAGCCAGUAUUGAGUGAUUCGGCUAAACUAGCAGAUAUGAAAGGUAAAAGCUGAAAAAAACUAGGUAGAAAAACGCUGGCUACAAUUAAAAAAUAGGUUGAUAUCAGCGUGUUCCAUUAUGUAACACAGGAGUCAGAUACUCACAUUGUUUGAAAAAAAUUGAUAGCAUUGUAUGAGAGAAAAACAUGUAUGAAUAAAGUUAUGCUUGUUAAAAAGCUUGUAACUUUAUAGUACAAGGAUGGACGAUCUGUUACAGAGCACUUAAGUGAUUUUCAAGAUAUAUUUAAUCGGAUGACUACUAUGGAGCUUAAGAUAGAUGAUGAAAUGAAGGCGUUAUUUUUUUUGGGUUCAUUGCCAGACAGUUGGAAUACUCUAGUUAUGACUAUUCUUAAUUCAGCUUUUGAUUAUAAGAUGACAUUGGAGAUGGUAAAGAACAAUAUGUUUAAUGAAAAAGCAAGGUGAAAAGAUGUAGACCUUGGGAAUCAAGUUCUAGUCACAGAGAACAUGGGUAAAAACAUCGACAGAGGUCAGGACUCAAAAAAUCGUGGUAAGUCUAAACAUAGAUCCAAGUCUAGAGAUAAAGUGAAGUGUUUCUAUUGUGGUAAGGCAUGUCAUAUAAAAUGAAACUAUAAAAUCUUGAAGCAAGAGCGAAAAGAUGAGAAAGGUAAGAGUUCAGAUAAUGGUAAUGUUACAACAGUGAAUUCAAAUAGUGAUUCAGUUACUUUGAUUUGUAUACAUGGUGAUUAUAAUCAUGUUAGUGAUUUCGGCAUUGAGUGGAUAGUUGACACAGGAGCGACAUAUCAUUGUGUUUCUAAGAGAGAGUUGUUUAUAACUUACAAAGCAAGAGACUUUGGUUAUACCAGAUGGAAAAUAAGAGUGUGUCACAGAUUAUUGGGAUUGGUGAUAUUGUUGUAAAAACUAGUACAGGCUGCAUGUUGACUUUAAGGGAUGUUAGACACAUUCUAGAUAUGAGAAUGAACUUACUUGCUAUUAAUGUCCUUGAUAAGGAAGGAUAUGAAAGUCGACAAAAGAAUGGACAGUAGAAACUUCUCAAAGGAUCUAUGAUAGUUGCAAAAGAAAACUAUGCUGCACAAUGUAUAAAACAUGGAUGCAAUUGAAUGGUAACCAGGUAAAUGCCGUUGAAAAUGAUGCUUCAGCAAACUUGUGGCACAGGAAGCUGGCACACAUGAGUGAAAAAGAGUUACAGGUUUUGACAAGACAGUCUCUUAUUCCAUUGACCAAAGGUAUGUCUCUCGAUUCAUGUGAUUAUUGUUUGUUUGGUAAGCAUCAUAGAGUUUCUUUUCGUAAAAAUUUUCAGAGAAAAGAAAAUAGAUUGAAAUUAAUUUAUUCUAACGUAUGUGAUCCCAUUGAGGUUGAGUCAUUAGGUGGUAGCAGAUAUUUUAUUACUUUUAUUGAUGAUGUUUCACGUAAGACUUGAGUGUAUAUGUUGAAAUACAAAAGUUAGGUACUGUAGUAUUUUUAAAAAUUUCAUGCCAUGGUAGAAAGGAUGACAGGGUUAUCCUUGAAGUGUAUUCAACUGAUAAUGGUGGGAAAUACACAUCUAAAGGCUUUGAAGAGUAUUGUUUAAAGCAUGGGAUCAUGCAUAAAAUGACAGAACUUGGAAUACCACAGCAUAAUGGUAUAACUAAAAGAAUGAAUCGUACCAUUGUAAAAAAAGUCAGAUGUAUGUUGAGGAUGAUAAAAUUACCAAAGUCAUUCUGGGGUGAAGCAGUCAACACGAUUUGUUAUUUACUUAACAAUCACCAUUAGUUUUUUUGAGCUUUGACAUUCCAGAAAGAGUGUGGACAGAAAAAGAUACUUCAUACUCUCACUUAAAAAUUUUUGGGUGUAAAGCAUUCAUGUAUGUGUCGAAAGAGUAGAGAUUAAAGUUUGAUAGUAAAACCACAUAGUGUGUGUUUGUAUGAUAUGGUGAUGAGAAUUUUGGUUACAGGGAUAUGGAAUCUAGUAAAGAAAAAGACAGUCAGAAGUAAAGAUGUGGUCUUUCAUGAAAAAGAGACUAUAGUAGACCUUGAGAAAAAUGAGAAGACUACACGGGUUACUGUUGAGUGUGAUGUUUUAACACCGACAGAGAUUUCACAAGAAAGAGCCACAAAUGGUGAAAAUAAGUAAGAAACAGAACUUGGGAAUAUAAAUGAGCCAGUCACAGUUGGUGAUGAGCCAAAUACAAUUAGUUUUGAGCAAGGGGAGCAAUCCUAUCUACCUGAGAGUGUUAAGCAGGAGGAGUUACCUUUGGUAUCAAAUGAUGUAGAGUCUCAGCCCAGGAGAUCUACUAGAGAGCGUAAGUCAUCUACCAGGUAUCCAAGUUCAUAUUUUAUUUUAGUUACCAGUGAAGGGAAGCCAAAAAGCUUUCAAGAUGUGCAGGUUACUUCAGAUAGAGAGCACUGGUUAAAAGCAAUGAAAGAAAAGAUGGAGUCAUUGCGAAAAAAUAGUACUUAUGAUCUUGUUAAACUUCCAACAGAGAAGAGGCCAUUAAAGAAUAAAUGGGUAUUCAAGUUAAAAAAAGAUGGUGACAAACUAGUGAGGUACAAAGCUCGAUUGGUAGUAAAAGGUUUUUCUCAAAAACCAGGCAUCGAUUUUGAUAAGAUUUUUGCUUCAGUUGUAAAGAUGAGUUCUAUUCGAGUGGUACUGGAAUUAGCAGCUAGUUUGAAUCUUUAGCUUGAGCAACUUGAUGUUAAAACUAUAUUUUUGCAUGGUGAUUUAUAGGAGGACAUUUAUAUGAAUUAGUCUAAGAGUUUUAAAGUGAAAGGGAAAGAGCACUUAGUUUGUAAAUUGAAGAAAAGCUUGUAUGGCUUGAAACAAGCUUCGUAACAGUGGCACAAGAAGUUUGAUUCUUUUAUGGUGAGUUAUAGCUAUAAAAGAACAGCAACGGAUUCUUGUGUGUAUGUUAAAUAAUUUCCUAAUGGUAACUUCAUUAUCCUAUUAUUAUAUGUUGAUGAUAUGUUGAUUGUAAGACAAUAUGCUAGUAAGGUUUGUAGGUUGAAAGAACAAUUAUCUAAGUCCUUUGAUAUGAAAGAUUUAGGCCAGUAAAGUAGAUUCUUGGUAUGGACAUUAUCCGAGAUAGAAGAGUUGAAAAGCUGUGGUUGUCACAAGAAAAAUAUGUUGAACGAGUGCUUGAUAGAUUCAACAUGCAACAUACUAAAUCAGUUAGCAGUCCAUUUGCUAACCAUUUUCAUCUAAGUAAAAAAUCUUAUCCAGUGUCUAAGAAAGAGCAACUAGUUAUUCUAGUAUUUUUUAUUCUUUUGCAGUCGGUUCUUUAAUGUAUCUUAUAGUUUGUACAAGGCCUGACAUUGCUCAUGCAAUUGGUGUAGUGAGCAGAUUUCUUUCUAAUCCGAGAAAGGUUCACUAGAAAGUAAUGAAAUAAAUUUUUACAUAUUUGAGGGGUACCUCAAAAAUGUGCUUGACUUAUGGUGUAAUGCCCCCAAUCCCACAUCAGAAGGAUAUGUGGAUAAGAAAUAAUAUAUAUGUAGAGAUUUAAUCCCAAAUUUGUGAGGCACCUUUUGUAAGACAAAAUCGUGAGGCCAGGAGGGCCAGAGCAGAUAAUACCUCACAAAGGUGUAAAUCGUGAUGGUUAGGCUGAUCUGAGACGCUGGAAGGGUGAAUGCCCAGGUCCCAGAGUCACGCGGGUUCAGAGCUUAAGUCUCGACCCGUGACAAGUGGUAUCAGAGCGGUCACCAGUCCGCAGUCGUGAGAGUCACUAAGUGCUACACGGUGGAGCUGUGGGAAUCACUAAGUGUUACACGAUGGUCUGGUGUGAUCUUAAUCCUGUGGAUGGACUCGGCUUGACAGAGACGUCAAGCAUUAAAGGUGGGGAGAUUGUAACGCCUUCAAUCCCACAUCAGAAGGAUGUGUAGAUAAGGAAUGAUAUAUAUGUAGAGAUUUAAUCCCAAAUCUGUGAGGCACCUUUUGUAGGACAAAACUGUGAGGCUAGGGGGGCCAGAGCAGACAAUACCUCACAAGGAUGUGAAUCGUGGCGGUUAGGCUGAUCUAAGACACCGAAAAAGUGAAUGCUCGGGUUUCGGAGCCGCACGGAUUCGGAGCUUAAGUCUCGACUCGUGACAAGAAGCACCUCAAGGGAUAUUUGGCACUCGAAAAUCAUAAGUCUAACAGGAAAACUCCCACUUACCAAGCAACUUUUCAGUUUUUUUAAGCUCACCAAGCUUUACCAAUGAACCCAACAUCCUUAUGUAGUUUAUGUUGGUAUGCUUCCUACAUUUGGCCUUUUGAAGGUUUCCAACUAGCAUACAAUGAAAUCAAGUAGUCAUAGCCCAGUGCAUUUUUUCCUACUUUUUUCUCACAUUUCUUCAGAUAAUAAAGUGCCUUUUCAUUAAGACCCGCUUUUGUGUAGUAAUUUACCAUUAUGGAAUAAGUAUCCCAAUCCAUUUGAAUCUGUCCUUGGCAUUCAUCUUUUGUAGAACCUUGUCCACGCUAUUAUAGUUAGCUUUUAUCCCAUCAAAAUUUAUGCAAAUUCCAUAGCUGAACCUGUCAAGGGGUUCUCAAGUUGACCUGUGAUUGUCUAGAGGCACAUAAGGUUAUUGUAGUCAAAAGAAGAGGAAAGAAAACCCAUCUCUUUCAUCUUCUUCAUAAGGGAAAGGACUCAUCGAUGAGGCCUUCUUGAAUAUAGCAAUUUAGAAGAGCACCAUAGGUGUUGAUAAUUUUAUCUUGAUCUCUCAUACUGCUAAGGAAGUUCUACUUCUUUACGAAAUUUUGCCCAUGAAUUUUACGAAUUAGCCCAUAAAAACAUGGUGAAUUUCAAUAUCACUUCACCUACAUUGAAGAUUUUGUCUUUGGACAUAGAUUACAGAGAUAAUCUUUUUGAACCUAGUGAUGAAGACAAAGUUGAAGCACAUAUUUUUCUUCCAAUAUAUGGAACUCAACUCUUUCUAGCACUUAACAAUGUCAAGUGCCUUGAAUUGCAUGGGAAACUCUCUUUGGACACAUUGGUAAGAGACACUAACAAUGUUCUUUAUUACUGAAAUUAUAGAGUUUAUACUUAAUACAUUAUCAAUGAUUUUUUUUCUGUUCUUUAGACUACUAGAAUUUGAUUCUGGUCACUUCACUUAAACCAAGAGUCCAGCACAUGAUACAUUAAACUCUAAUACAUUAUCAGUGAAUUACUGUUUCUACUCUUUCAAACCUAAUAUGGUAAUGCUAGUUAUUGUCAAUGGUACCCAUUACUUACUAUUUCUCUUCUUUCAGGCACAUGAUUCUUUUCCUUUGUUUGUUAAUUUAACCCGACUGUUACUAUCAUGUGUUGAUGAAAUUAAAUGGGAUUUGCUAUCGUUCUUCCUUGAAAAUUCUCAUAAACUAGAAACUUUUAUAGUUCAUAAAAAGGAAAAUUUUACAUUGCUCUCACUGUAAAAAGACCACUCACUUGGAGAAAUAUUACUGGUACAAACUUGACAGACAAUGUAGGUAUUAAGCAGCUUGGUCACAUGGAAAAGGUAUGUAAAAAUAAAAAAUAGUAACAGCCAGAUCAACAAGCUAGAGUUGCUGACAAUCAACAACAGUUAGAAGAGCAAGUUUUUGUUGCAACUUGCUAUGGAACCAGAACAUCCUCAAGUGCAUGGCUCAUUAAUAGUGGCUACACACACCUUAUGGCAUCUGAUAUCAACAUGUUCAAAGAACUAGAAAAGACCUGUACCUUUAAAGUCAGAAUAGGUAAUGGUGAUUUCAUAGAAGUAAAAAAAAAAUGAGUAGUGGCAGUUAAGACACCAACAGGUACCAAACUCAUUUCAGAUGUGUUAUUUAUGCUUAAAAUAGAUCAAAAUCUGUUAAGUGUAUGACAAUUGCUAGAAAAUAACUACUCUUUAGUUUUCAAAGACAAGGCAUGCAUAAUUCAUGAUCCCACUGGCCAUCAACUCUUUACUGUUAAUAUGAAAGAAAAAUGUUUUUCCUUGAAUUGGCAUGAAGCAAACUCUUCUGCAUAUGCUACUUCACAUGAUGAAUCUUCUUUAUGGCAUAAAAGGAUGGGACAUUUCAACUACAAUGCAUUGAAUUUCAUGCAUAAAAAUGAUCUUGUAUUAAACAUGCCUACUGUUAAAGUUAGUGCUAGAGUGUGUGAAGUCUGUCAGCUAGGAAAACAAAAUAAGUUGCCAUUUGCAAUUAACAAAGCAUGGAGGGUAACUGAAAAAUUACAACUUGUUCAUACUGAUGUUUGUGGUCCUAUGAGAACCUUGUCCUUGAAUGGCAGUAAAUAUUUCAUUGCUUUUAUAGAUGAUUUUACCAGAAUAUGUUGGAUUUACUUCAUGAAACAAAAGUCUGAAGUUGUAAAUGUAUUUUGAAAGUUCAAGGCUUGGAUUGAGAAUCAAAGUGGCUGUAAAAUCAAGAUCAUAAGGUCAGACAAUGGUACUGAAUAUACAUCUAACAGAUUUAAUGAGUUUUGUGAAGUUACAAGAAUUGAACACCAACUAACAGUAACUUACACUCCACAACAAAAUGGAGUCAAUGAAAAGAAGAAUAAAAUAAUCAUGGAGAUGACAAGAUGCAUGCUAUUUAAGAAGAAUCUUCCUAAGAAAUUUUAGGCAGAGGCAGUCAAUACCUCUGUCUACUUGCUCAAUAGGAUGCCCACAAAAGGCUUUGAAGGAAAAACUCUUUUCGAAGCCUGGUAUGAAAGCAAACCAUCAGUGCACCACCUCAGAGUUUUUGGUAGCAUUUGUUAUGUGUUCGUUCUUGAUAUCAAAAGGGAUAAGCUUGAUCAAAAAGUAAAAAUAUGUAUUUUUUUGGGCUAUAGCAACAUCACCAAAGGCUAUAAGACUUACAAUCCACUUACAGGUAAGAUGAUUGUAAGUAGAAAUGUGAGAUUUAAUGAGCAAGCUGCUUGAAAUUGAAAAAAGUCAAAGAAAGAAUCAGUCAAGCAAACUACUGCAGACAUGAUAAGCUUUCAAGAUCAAGAAGAUUAUAUGUUUGAAAAUGAAAUCAUUGAUCAUGAACCAGUGAGAGGAAUAAGACCACUCACAGAUAUUUAUCAAAGAUCAAAUGUUACCAUUCUUGAACCUGCAAACUUUGAAGAAGCUGUCAAAUUUUCAGAGUGAAAGAAUGCCAUGAAAGAGGAGUUUCAUAUAAUUGAAAAAAAUCAAACAUGGAUGCUGAUUGAUAGAUUAAGCAACAAAAACAUCAUUUGUGUUAAAUGGAUUUUCAUAACAAAGUUGAAUGCUGAUGGUUCCAUCAACAAACUUAAAGCUAGAUUGGUAGCUAAAGGCUACUCCCAACAGUUUGGUAUUGAUUUUUCAAAGACAUUUGCUCCAGUUGCAAGGUUGGACACUAUAAGGCUGCUAUUAGCCUUAGCAACUCAGCAAAGUUAGAAAAUAUACCAACUUGAUAUCAAAUCUGCCUUCUUGAAUGGUUAUCUUGAUGAUGAGAUUUACAUUAAACAACCUAAUGGUUUUGUUGCCAAGGGACAUGAAGGCAAAGUCUAUCUACUCAAGAAAGCUUUGUAUGGAUUAAAACAAGCUCCAAGAGUGUGGAAUUCCAGAAUUGAUGAUCAUUUACUAAAGUUAGGAUUCAAGAAAAGCCUCAGUGAAGCAGCAUUGUGCAUUAAAGCUUUUAACAGUAAUGAUCUGUUGAUUGUUUCUUUGUAUGUUGAUGAUCUUUUGGUGACAGGUAGCAAAUCAGUUCUUGUGAAGGAUUUUAAGCUCCAAAUACAAAAAUUUUUGAGAUGACAGAUAUGAGAGAAAUGUCUUAUUUUCUUGGAAUGGAGAUUCAUCAAGACUAGCAAGGAAUCUUCAUUUGUGAAAGAAAAUAUGCAAAUGAAAUCCUGAAUAAGUUUGGGAUGAAAAAUUGCAAACUAGUCAACACUCCUUUAGCUCAAAAUGAGAAACUUAUUAAGGAAGAUAGAGCUAACAAAGUUGAUGGUUCUAUUUAUAGAAGUUUGGUUGGUUGCUUAUUGUAUUUGACAGCAACAAGGCCAGACAUCAUGUAUGCUAUACAUUUACUCUUUAGGUUCAUGCAAAAUCCUAGUGAGUUACAUUUUAAGGCUACAAAAAGAGUGUUGAGAUAUGUCAAAGGAACCAAUGAACUUGGAAUUUGGUUUAAGAAGAAUGAAAGUUCAAGAUUGGUUGGAUUCACAGACAAUGAUUGGGUUGGCUCUCAUAAAGAUAUGAAAAGCACUUCAGGCUAUGUGUUUUUCAUUGGAUUAAAUGUGUUCAGCUGGAAUCCAAAAAAACAAGGAAUUGUGGCUCAAUCAACAGUAGAAGCAGAGUAUAUAGCUGCUGCAGUUGCUGUUAAUCAAGCAAUUUGGCUAAGAAAAAUUCUAAUGGAUUUGAGUCAAAAGCAAAAUGAUCCAACAUAAAUUUUUUGUGAUAAUCAGUCAGCAGUUGCAAUGGUCAAGAACCUUGUGUUUCAUAGAAGAACUAAGCAUAUUAAGAUCAAGUAUCACUUUAUUAGAGAAGUUGAAGCUGAGAAUGAAGUGAAACUGAUGCAUUGCAAGUCAGAAGAUCAAAUUGCAAAUAUUUUGACCAAGGCCUUACCAAAGGCAAGGAUUGAAACAUUAAGGAAAAGUCUUGGCGUUUCCAGUAAAAAUGCCAAGGAGGAGUGUUAGUAUGUUAGUGGUUAAAGCAACUAGGUAUGGCAUUUCUACUGGCACUUUUGUAACAGGUUCUGCCAUCUGAUCAGUUUAGGUAACAUGAUGGAUCUGUGCAUGGUGAUCAAUAUUGUUAGGCAAACAACUUUUGUAGUAAUUAAACAAACUUUUGUAUUUUUGAAGCCUAUAAAUUAAUGAAAUGAAGCUCAUGAUCUAAUGAGCCAAAUUUACUUCAAGUGACAGAUUAGUUUCUUCUAUUUUUUGUUCUUCCUCUGCUCUAAAUCCUUCAUGGUGUCACUCUUCUUCAAAAUUCUCAAAAACUAGAAAAUCCAGUAGUUCGUAAUAAAGUUAGUUGAAUACAGACAUGGAUUGCAAAACCGGAGAUCUUAUGUAUGAGUUGAGCUUUCUUUGACUCUAGAUAUUCACUAGCAAUAGGUGAGAAUGCCAUCAGACACGGUCAAAAGUGUCAUGAAUCAAUGUUGACUGUGUAUUAGAUAUAAGUAUUCAUACUAUUUUUAACUUGUAAUUUUUUUUUAUAAGAUAAAACGGAUAAUAUUUUACAAAAUCGGUGUGAUGUGAACCAUGACACAAAUAUGUACAUUGAUAUGUGUCUCUUAUCAAGUCUAACAAAAGUACGUGUAUUAAUGUUAGCUUAUAACUUUUCUAUAUUGAUCAUGUUUGAAUAUUGUAUGAAGAUAUAGUGAUAACUUUUAAGAGUAGACGAUGGGCUCAACUACUAAAUCUUACGUACUUACAUGGAAGAUCAUAUUAAUUGUCGGUAUAUCUGUCUGCUCUAGGUUGGAGAUGAGCAGAACCAAAGCAUGAUUCAAAAUGUUUUUCUUCUUGGUCAUACCUCGAAACUGUUUGUAUUAGAAAAGUUGUAAGGUUCGAACAUGAGCUAGGAUUGAUAGAGCACAUAGAGCCUUGAAUACAAUGACAAUCUGGAGCUAUGGUUUCUUUUCGGCUUCAGAUUUCCUUGUUCACAACAAUUUAUCAACGAUCCAAAGGUGCUCUGAGACUUGUAAACUUGAAUUCAAAUGUCAAAAAUCAGCAGUCCUAAAUUCCCCGGCCCCUUACUGAUGUAAUAAAAUCUUCUGUUGCAUAUAUAUGACACUUAAUAAUUGAGUCUAACUUGAUAUUAUUGAUAUUCUUAUUUGGUUAUCUUGGCUGUAACACAUCUCAUGAGAGUGUCCAACUUUGGAGUUUGAUUUUCAAUUUCUCAAGAUGCUCUAGUCACUAAUCCUUGAAAUAUUCUUGAAACCAGUGUUACAGGCUUAAAAACUGUGUAAACAUGUCAUUGAAUCGCCAGAGAAUUAAACCUCGAAGUAGCCCUAAAUCUCACCACCUGAUCAUUCAGAACAAAACAUAUGGAUUCAAGGAGAAAACCAUCCCACAUCGCUUCAAAACCAGAUACCCCUUGUUAUUUAUAUGUUCUAAACUCAUAUCACGUCGGUAAGGUGAUGGAACGGUAGGCUCUUCUCCACAAAGUCGCAUUUCGGGCGGUUAUCUGGCUUGUCGAUCUAUGCAUGGAGUUGAACAAUAAUAAGAACCCGAAUACUUAAAUGCACAAGAGGGAGUUGAACAAUCAUGCAAUGAGACCCCUAUUACCUAAUGCACGAUAGGAGCAAUAUGUGGGGAGGAGCCGCAAGAGGAGUUGAACAAUCAUGCAAUGAGACCCCUACCUAUGCAUAAUAGGAGCAAUGUGUGCGGAGGAGUCGCGACCUCCCUCGACCUCCCUCCCACACUAAACGUGGAAGGCUAAUUGCAAGUCAGUGCCCUCUGAAAGAGGAUGACUCUGUGGGUGGUUCUCCUAACUGUUCCAUCACCUUUUUUUUUUUUUUUUCCUUUUUCGGCAUUUUAAGUGUUCAAACGAUAAAAAAUUUAUGAAAAACAUAUAUAGACAAAUAGAUUAUUGAUCUAAUCACAUAUUGCUGUUAUUUUCUUUAUUUUAUUUUCUUAUGAAAAAAAUUAAAAAAAAAACCAAAUAUAUUAACAAUGACGAAGUAUAAAAUGAUCGUUCUAAAACUUUCAACACAGCAAGUUCAAGUUAUAGAUCAUUAUUUGAUCAGAUUGACAGCUAAAUAAUUCUGUACCGUCCACCAUCGAUACUUCAGGUAGUUAUAAUUACAACUCUAUCAGUGGCUAAGUGUGGCUUGAUGUGCCAGUAUUAUGUAUCCUGACAUUGAAAACCACUUAGGAGUUUUGCCCUCGAAGGCCAAAAUUCUUCAUGGUUUCCUCAUCUUCAUCUAUUUUAUGGUCCUUCAUGCUCUCCAAGAGCCCCUCCAGUUCUUUGCCAUUUCUGAUUAUCGCCUUCAAGAGAGCAUGAUACAUAUCUCUAUUUGCUGGAACCUUAGUUUCUCAAUAAUUUCACAAAAGCUUCUGCUCUUCAACUUCUCCAUUCUCACCUAGCCAACUCAAUAUGCUAGAUAUGUAUUAAAAUUGAUUUUGGACUCUAAUAUAUAUAUAUAUAUAUAUAUAUAAAUAUCUAUAUAUUUUGGGCCUGUAGAGCAAGAGCUUCCUUAAAGCACUUAAAAGCCUUCUCCAUAAUGUUGUUAUCCGCGUAUCGAGCUGCAACAAUAGGCCAACUGAUUGGACUUGCAGUCUUCCUUCUCUUCAUUAUAUCCUGUAGCUUUGCUUCGGCCUUCUUUCUUACAAUAUCCAAUAAGAAGGACAUUUGGCACUUGGAAAUCAUAAGUCUUCCAGGACAACUCCCACUUAUAAAGCAACUUUUCAGUUUCUUCAAGCUCACCAAGCUUCAUCAAUGAACCCAGCAUCCUUAUGUAGUUUAUGCUGGUAUGUUUCCUACAUUUGACCUUUUGAAGGUUCCCAAACUAGGAUACAAUGAAAUCAAGUGGUCAUAACCUAGUCCAUUUUUACCUACUUUUUUCUCACAUUCCUUGAGAUAAUGAAGUGCCUUUUCAUUAAGACCUGCUUUUAUGUAGUAGUUUGACAUUAUGGAAUAAGUAUCCCAAUCCAUUUGAAUCUGCCCUUGGCAUUCCAUCUCUUGUAGAACCUUGUCCACGCUAUUGUAAUCAGCUCUUGUCGCAUCAGAAUUUAUGCAAAUUCUAUAGCUGAACCUGUCGGGAUUUUCAAGUUGACCUGUGAUUGUCUAGAGGCACAUAAGGUUAUUGUAGUCAAGAGAAGAGGAAAGAAAACCCAUCUCCUUCAUCUUCUUCAUAAGGGAAAGGGCCUCGUCGAUCAGGCCUUCUUGAACAUAGCAAUUUAGAAGAGCACCGUAGGUGUUGACAGUUUUAUCUUGGUCUCUCAUGCUGCCAAAGAAGUUCGGAACUUUGCCCAUGAACUCUACCAAUUAGCCCAUAAAAACAUGGUGAAUUUCAAUAUCACUUCACCUACAUUGAAGACUUUGUCUCUGGACAUAGGUUACAGAGAUAAUCAUUUUGAAACUCGUGAUGAAGACAAGGUUGAAGCACGUAUUUUUCUUCCAAUAUAUGGAACUCAUCUCUUCCUAGCACUUAACAAUGUCAAGUGUCCUGAUUGCGUGGGAAACUCCCUUUGGACACACUGGUAAGAGACACUAACAAUGUUCUUUAUUACUGAAAUUAUAGAGUUUAUACUUAAUACAUUAUCAAUGAUUUUUUUUUUCUGUGCUUUAGACUGCUAGAAUUUGAUUCUGGUCACUUCACUUAAACCAAGAGUCCAGCACAUGAUACAUUAAACUCUAAUACAUUAUCAGUGAAUUACUGUUUCUACUCUAUCAAACCUAAUAUGGUAAUGCUAGUUAUUGUCAAUGGUACCCACUACUUACUAUUUCUCUUCUUUCAGGCACAUGAUUCUUUUCCUUUGUUCGUUAAUUUAACCCGACUGUUGCUAUCAUGUGUUGAUGAAAUUAAAUGGGAUCUGCUAUCGCUCUUCCUUGAAAAUUCUCAUAAACUAGAAACUUUUAUAGUUCAUAAUAAGGUCAGUUGAAUAUAGACAAAACUUUUCUAAUUCUUCCUAAACUAUGAUCUUACGUAUGAGUUGUGAUGUCUUUUGUCUCCAGAUAUUCACUAGCAAUGGGUGUGAAAGCCAGUGGACACAGCCAAGGGAUGUCCCUAUAUGUAUUUUGUCAAGUCCAACAGGGUAUGUUUUAAAAUUUUGGAAGGAUUGAAAGAUGAACUGAAAAUGGUAGGGUACUUUUUACCGAAUGCUAGAUUGUUGAGGACAACGGAAAUCUAAACCAAUAAUCAGUCUUCAGGUUCAAAUAUUCGUGAUGCUAUUGCUAAAGUGUUGUGGACAAGGGAAACCUACACCAGUAAUCAGUCUUCAGGUUCAAGAUUCGCAGUUUCAAGAGACAACUUUCAAUGUUGCCAGGGUUCUCGGAGACUUGUGUUUCUGUUAACUCAUUUAAUCAUUGGAAAAUUAAAAAAUUUCUAUUAAAUUUGAGAUGGAUAUUCUUAUUAUUCAUUAGUGUUGGCACAAAUAUAUGUUCCUUUGCUUGAUUAUCUGAUGUGAAUAUUUGGCAUGAAAAAGUUUUGAAUUAAGUCAAACAUACAUCGAACAUAUAUGAAUGCAUUCAUAGCAAUUUUUCUUUGCAAAACGAGCUGAAUAUUUGACAUAAAAAGAUUAUUGUUUAAACCAUAGUUUUAGUCUAAGAUGGAGCUGUGAAAUGUGAACAGUUAUAUGAAAUAAAAGUUAAAUUAUAGCAUAUUUGAAAGCGCUAGUAUAUGUUAUAACAUUUCCUACUCAAGUUUUUUUUAUGUAUUGAUAUUAAUCAAUGAAUUUAUAAAUGCAUGGCCAAAUGGGAAAAAAAACAUUUUAGAAUUAUGAUUAUAGAAUUGCUCAUUUUUACUCUCUUUCUCUGUUUGGUAGGCACAGGCCCAUCUCACUCAUCACCGGUGCCUCUUUGGUACAGUUAGCAGGGACUGUCUCUUUCUAUGCAAGCUGACUAUUGGAGAGGGUUCAAAUGGUUUUUGUUCAUAGGAAGGGCGAGCAGGGUUCAUAGUUGAUCUUGAAUCCAUUUUGGACUUUAGAUAUAUAGAUUUAGGGUUCACUAUUUAGGGUUUAGGGUUUAGAUAUAAACUGCUAUUAUGUUAUAUUAGCCAGACCAAUUGAUCCUAACUGGCGAGGCUCACAGCCUUUUUUGUUUUUUUUGUUUUAAAUAAGUAUUAAGUAAUUAAAACAUCUUGCUUUUGGGAGCAAAUGAAGUAGCAAGUGUCUCUCUCUUUUCCAUUUGUUUGUUAAUUGGUCAUGACAGCUGAGGUGUGGUAUCACUCUUCCUUCAAAAUUCUCAUAAACUAGAAACUCCUGUAGUUCGUAAUAAAGUCGGUUGAAUAUAGACAUGGAUUGCAAAACCUGAGAUCAUAUGUAUGAGUUGUGCUUUCGUUGACUCUAGAUAUUCACUAGCAAUAGGUGAGAAUGCCAUCAGACACAGCCAAAAGUGUCAUGGUCAUUGGAGGAGACAUGAAUCAACGUUGACUAUGAACUAGAGAUAAAUAUAACUAUUCACACUACUUUCAACUUGUGAUAUGUUUUUUUAUAAGAUAAAACGGAUAAUAUUUUACAAAGUCGGUGUGAUGUGAACCAUGACACAAACAUGUACACUGAUGUGUCUCUUAUCAAGUCUAGCAAAAGUACGUAUGUAUUAAUGUUAGCUUAUAACUUUUCUAUAUUGAUCAUGCUUUGAAUAUUGCAUGAAGAUACAGUAAAAACUUUUAAGAGUAGACGAUGGGCUCAACUACUAAAUCUUACGUACUUGCAUUAAAGAUCAAACUAAUUGUUAGUAUAUCUGUCUGCCCUAGGUUGGAGAUGAACAGCACCAAAGCAUGAUUCAAAAUUUUUUUUGUUUUUUUGGUCAUACCUCGAAACUAUUUGUAUUAGAAAAGUUGUAAGGUUGGAACAUGAGCUCGGAUUGAUAGAACACAUAGGGCCUUGAAUACAAUGACAAUCUGGAGCUAUGGUUUCUUUUCGGCUUCAGAUUUCCUUCUUCACAACAAUUUAUCAAUGAUUCAAAGGUGCUCUGAGACUCGUAAACUUGAAUUCAAAUGUGAAGAAUCAGCAGUCCUAAAAUUUCCCGGCCCCUUACUGAUGUAAUAAAAUCUUCUGUUGCAUAUAUAUGACACUUAAUAAUUAAGUCUAACUUAAUAUUAUUGAUAUUCUUAUUUGGUUAUCUUGGCUGUAACACAUCUCAUGAGAAUGUCCAACUUUGGAGUUUGAUUUUCGAUUUCUUAAGACUCUCCAGUCACUAAUCCUUGAAGUAUUCUUGAAACCAGUGUUACAGGCUUAAAAACAAUGUAAACAUGUCAUUGAAUCGCCAGAGAAUUAAACUUCGAAGUAGCCCUAAAUCUCACCACCUGAUCAGUCAGAACAAAACAUAUGGAUUAAAGGAGAAAACCAUCCCACAUCGCUUCAAAACAAGAUACCCCUUGUUAUUUAUAUAUUCUAAACUCAAAUCAGAUCAGCAAGGUGAUGGAACGGUAGGCUCUCCUCCACGGGGUCGGAUUUCGGGUGGUUAUUUGGCUUGCCGAUCUAUACAUGGAGUUGAACAAUACGAACCCUAUUACCUAUGUACAGGAGGAGUUGAACAAUUAGACAAUGAGACCCGUAUGCACAGAGGAGCAAUGUGUGUGGAGGAGCCGCCCCCCUCCCACACUAAGCGUGGAAGGCUAAUUGCAAGACAGUGCCCUCUGAAAGAGGAUGGCUCUGUGGGUGGUUCUCCUACUGAUCCAUCACCUUUUUUUUCCUUUUUCGGCAUUUCAAGUGUUCAAAC
rnacentral:lncRNA from 1 species